rnacentral:lncRNA from 1 species
AAUUGACUGUACUCUAGCUAUCUGAAAUCAAUUAUCAAACUACAAAAUACCAAGGCUUACUACUUCCAUCUUGAUUCAAUAUAUAAUCCAUUCUACGACUAUCAAUUCAACAAUACUUCUCUCAAUCACAAUUCUUCAUAAACAAAUAAUAGAAGCAAAGAAAACAAAGAGGUAGCACCAAGCUUACCCUGGCUUACGACUCUCAUAGUCUAGCUCUUAGCUUAUGACUCUCAUAGUCUGGCUCUUGGCUUAUGACUCUCAUAGUCUAGCUUUGAUCUCUCUUUCUUCAACCUAUUUAUUCUACCAAAAAGAUGAUCCAUUGGCCAAUGGAUUCCAAAGAUUAUGACACUUUGAAUUUUUAACCAUUUAUUCCACUAACAACCUAUUGUUACCAACUAAACUGUGUAGCCAUCAGUCUAAUUCUUAAGGUUAUCAAUAACCAACCAAUAACUUACCACAAAGUUUAUUUGCCUAUUCUACACUCUACAUAGUAGCUUUUUAUUCCAGAGAAUUUUUAGCAAUCAAAAUUAAUUAUGAGAUUCAUAACAAAGAGCUCCUUGCAAUAGUAGAUUCAUUUUAAGAAUGGCAUCAUUAUCUAGAAGGCACCUUAAGUCCAAUCACCAUAUAUAUAGAUCAUAAAAACCUUGGGUACUUCAUAUCAAGCAAAUUCAAUCAAGUAUGUCUUCUAAUCUUUUUGUUCAUGAUAUCAAGAAUAAUUCUUCUAAGUCCUAUGAUACUUUGAAGUUUUACUUCAAGCACAACCUAUUAUAUUUCAAAGAUCACUUAUAUAUUCUAAAAAACGAGGCAUGAUUACAUGUCCUUCAAGUUCAUCAUGAUUUUUCAAUAGCCGAAUAUUUUGGAUACAAUAAGACUUUGAAGCUAAUAUCAAAAGAUUUUUAGUGGCAUCAAAAAUAAAAGGCAGUCAAAGACUUUGUAUAAUCAUGUGAUAUUUGUUCCAGAUCUAAAACUCCUCACUAUUGACUUAAUGGACUUCUUGAACUAUUAUCAAUUCCAAAACAAUUAUGGUCUUCUGUUUGUAUGGAUUUUAUCAAGGAUCUUUCAGUAUCAAGUUCAUAUGACUCUAUAUUUAUAACCAUAGAUUAUUUCAGCAAAAUUAUAUAUUUUAUACUAUAUACAAAAUCUAUUUUAGGUGAAGAAAUAAUUAAACUUUUUAUUGAUAGUAUCUAUUGCUAUUAUGGAUUGCUAAAGGAUAUUAUAUUGGAUAUGGAGAUUCAAUUUAUAUCAAGAUUUAGAAGAAUCCUAUUUAAGAUUUUAAAGGUAGAUAUAAAGCUUUUUUUGGCUUUUCAUCUUAAAAAUGAUGGACAAACGGAAUGAGUGAAUCAAGUUUUGGAAGAGUAUUUGAAUUAUACCAUCAACUAUCAUCAAGAUAAUUAGACAACUCUUUUGCCAUUGGUAGAGUUUGCAUAUAAUAAUUCAAUGCAUUUCUCUAUUCAAUAAAUACCUUUCUUUGCCAAUUAUGGUUAUCAUCUAUGACUUGAUACUUUUGACUUGUCAAAGGCCAUGCCCAAUAGGCUUCAAGGAUGCUGCCCAAGACCUUAUUAGGGAUUAGGAUUUCUCUUUUGAAGUCAUUUGAGCUUUAGAGGCUAGGAUCAGCAAGUUUAAGAUUUUGGGUAUAAUUUGGAUGAAGAGUUUGGGUGAUUUCGAAUUUUUGUGAAGGAGAUAUAACUAUUCAAAGUUAAGGUGUCAAAUUUGUACCUAUUGUCAUUCUUUGAAGCAUAACAUAUGUGCACGGAGAGCAAUGAAAGAUCGGCAAUUACAAUUGAAAAGAAAACCUUCUUGGCUACACUUUACAUAUAUUGUUUGAUGAAUUCUAAGUCUGGCUAAAGGAGUUAUAGGGCUUUGAAGACAACACAUGAAAUUCAAAGGCAGUAAGUGAGUCAUUUUAUUGAUAGUAAUGGUUGGAGCCAUAUCUUGAGUUUUUGGACGAAUUUUUGACUCAAAUUUUUUAUAAAUAUGAGUUAUUAGGUUAAAAAGCUCUAAAUAAAAGUUUCAUGGUAAUUGAGUAUUUAUUUUAUGAGAUAUAAAGAAAAUAGCAUACAGGUGUAUGUAAGCUAGGAUUUAAAGCUAUUGUUAGGAUUUUGGUGAUAUCUAAAGAUUCAUAACGAAUUUGUGGUUGAAUUUUUUGUGAUAGUUUUUGAAAUUAUAUUAGUACUUCAUGUAAAAUUUUAGAUUUUUUGGACUGUUUGAUCGUGAGAUAUGAGCUGUUGAAGUUUGAAAAACAUUUUUUAUAAGGUUAUAUAAGGUUUUAAGAUACUUUAUCAUAAAUUUGGAUGUUUUUUUGAUACUUGGACUUAUAUAUUGAUGUAAUUGCCCUAAAAGAGAAAAUAUUAUAUAUAUAAACUUGGUAAUUUUAUAUCUUAGACUUGAUUGAGUAUUUAGUGGUAGCCAAAAGCCGAGCACUUUCUUGAGACAAACUCUCUCUACCUUGACAGUUGUUUUGACUUUAGAUGUAUUUGUAGAAUAGAAACUUAGCCAACAAGUUAAUCUUGUGUUGGUAGCCUAUGGAAAAAGUUAACUCCAUAUAGUAGCUUGUAAAACAAGUUAAAUAUGUAGCCCAUACAUAGUUAACUUACCUUCCAAAUUAAGACAUGUAGCUAACAAAAUCAAGAUGUUUUGGAUGUCUUAUAGAACAUCGCCAUGUAGCUUCUAAUUAAGAGUAUAUAUAGAUGUAAGAGUGAAGCCUUCUUCAAGCUUGUCAAUACCUUUUUAGUCCUUAGUCUUGUUUCAAGACUUUUUAAUCUUUUCUUUUUUGGCAAUAGCCAUUUCAGUUCAAUAUUAUAUCAUCUUCGAGUGACUAUCUAGUUCUUUUCAGUGAUAUAAAAGUAUAUUGAGGAUUUUCUUUCUUUAAGAUUCAUAUCCUUAAUACAUGUAUUAUGAUAAUGUGGAAUUAAAUAUAUAUUAAUAAUAGUAGAACAUUUUAGUAAGUAGAUUGAAUUUAUAGCUUUAUCACAAAAUUCUUCAAAAUUGGCAGCUAAGGCUUUUUUUGGUCAAGUAUUGGUACAUUUUGGAGUACUAACUUAAAUCUUAAUAACUCAAGGAAGAAAGUUUUUUAGAAGUUUUGAAGCUUUAUGUACUAAGGCUUUGAUAGAUUAUUAUACCAUAUCUAAGAAUCAUCUUAAAUUAGUGUCAUGGAUAUAUAUAUAUAUAUAUAUAUAUAUUCGAAUAAAUAUCUAUAUGAUUAGGUAGAAGUAGAUAAAAAUAAAUAAAAAUAAGUUAAUUUGAUAAUACCUUCUAAAGAAGCUUCUCAAAAGCUUCAUAGACAUUGCUUUGACUUUAUAUGUAUUUGUACUUGAUUGUUAGGUUGAAAACUUAAUCAACAAAUUAAUGACAUAUCAGUAGCUUAUAAAACAAGUUAACUAUGAGACAUACAUAUAAAAAACUUGCCUUGCAAGUUAAGAUAUGUAUCUUACAAAGUCAACAUAUUUUGUAGAUUUUAUAGGAGACUACUACAUAAUUUCUAAUUAAGAAUAUAUAUGGAGGCAAGAGUGAAGCCUUCUUCACUCUUAACAAUGCCUUUCUAAUCUUUAAUCUUGUUUCAAGACUUUUUAAUUUUCUUGUUUUUGAUAAUAUUCAUUUUGAUUCAAUAUUAUAUGAUCUUUGAAUAACUUUCUAGUUCUUUUUAAUGGCACAAGAGUAUAUUGAGAUUUUUUUUUGUUUUAGAUUCAUAUCUUUGAUACUUUGAAAAGAGUCAUAACUUAUUAUUUUUGUCUUAUUUCAAACGUGAAUGAACUAUCUCACUUCUAUUGUUAUAUUUUGAAGGUUGUAGACUAUCUACCUUUAAAAAAAUAAUCUUAUUUUUUAAUACUAAGUUUUUUCUAAAAAAGAGUGGAUUACUUUUCUUUGUAGAAAUUUCAUUUGAUAUUAGAAGUUGUGGAUUAUCUUCCUCUAACUUAAUUUUUUGAAUUUAUUUGAAUUAUUUAUAAAAUAAAAGAUUAUAUAUCAUACUCUUAUCAAAAAUAAGAAUAGAUUUGUAACUAUGGUAGACCUUCAUGAGCUUUUCAAUAAUUUAAGAAUAAAAAUGCCAUAUAUUUUUAAUAUAAAUUAUCGAGGUACUAUUCCUACGCCUAUAGAAGAGGUUCAAAGUCUGCAAUAAGAAGUUGUAUAAUUGAAACAAGCAAGUAGAUUGACCUUACAACCAAAUCCAAAGAAUUUUGCAUCUAUAAGUAUGAUGGAAAUAAGGAAUAGUAUUCUUAAGAAUUUCGAUAGAACAAGAUCAAAAUUUCAAGGAUUUUGACAAAAAAUCAAGUUUUAUCUAAGGUUACAUCUUUUCCAAUAUACUAAUGGAUUUACUUAAGUCAAAUUUAUAAGCAUACUUCAAUCAAGAAGUAUUCUUUUUUUAUUUGUACCAUUAAUGAAAAAUAAUUUAUGACUCCUUUAUGAUUUGAAUUCAUUCUUAGAAGUGUUUAUGGCCACAUUCAAAAAAAGUGAUCAAAAAAGAGUAACAAAGACAAAAUACUUAUCUUUAUGAUAAGGAUCACAAUCAACCACCAUAUAUGUUGCUAAAUUCCAAAACCUUGCUUGCAAUAUGGACUAGAAUAACAAAAUCUUUAUCAAUCAAUUUCAAUAUGGGUUGAAGGAUAAUAUCAAAGAUUUAUUUUUGACAAUGUGAAAGAUAAAAUCUUUGGAACAAUUUAUUGCUCAAGCCAUUGCAUGUAAUAAUUGAUUAUUUAAAAGACAUCAAGAACAAAGACUUAUCUAGAAAGGAACAAAUCAUAUAAUGAUGACAGCUCCCAAGUUUUUAAAAACUUAUUCAUCAAGGUUACAACCAAUAUAAAUUAAUAUGGUAUAUUUUAAAUCCCUCAUGAAGCAGAAAAAGACUUGUUGACAUCAAAAAGGCUUAUAUUUAUAUUAUGGAGAAGCUAAACGUACUACUCAAUAUUAUCCAAAAAUAAUGCAACUACAAAAUAAAGAGCAUGGUUGCCAAAAAAGACUAUAUAUCAAAAAAUAAGUUUCUAUAGCUAUAAUAGAGAUUGUGCAGUUAAAAACUUGUCUAACUCUUAAUAAAGGUGUUAUUCUCUUCUUAGAUCCCUCACCUCAUUUUAUAAUAGAAGUUUAUUUAGGACUAAAAAAUCACAAAGUCUUAGUUUUAUUAGAUUCAGGAGCAUUAACCUAUUUUGUAGACAAAGAUUUUGUUAAAAAAGAAAAAAUAUCAUUAAUCAAGAAAACUAAAUUUAUACAUGUAGAAGUCAUAGAUGGUCAUUUGCUAUCUUCUAGAGAUAUUACAUAAGAAACCGUUCCUUUAGAUAUAGCAAUUAAAGAUCAUAAUAGCAUAGUAAUAUUUAAUGUAAUAAGAUCUCUAUUCAAUUUGGAUAUUUUAAGAUUAUCUUAGUUUAAAAAGUAUAAUCCUCAAAUAGAUUAGAUUUCUUAUAAUCUUAAUUUUUUUGAUAUUUUAAUCAAAAAUUCCAUUAAUUAAGUAAAAAUACAUAAGUCUAUUACAUCCAAAUUCUUACUAGUAGUUACAAGAGCUUUCAUAUAUGCUGCAAAAGAAAGAUUAUUUUUUGCUAUAUAUGCCAUGCCCAUUUUUAAUAGUAGAAAGAUGUCAAGAAGUAUUCUUGGCCAAUAUUAAGAUUUUGAAAACAUUUUUGAAUAAAAGAGUGCAAAUAUUCUUCCAAGGUAUUGUCGUUAUGAUUGUUCCAUUGAUCUUUGAGGAAUUCAAUUACUAUUUGGACCAACAGAUUCAACAAAGGACUAAUGAAGGAUCCAAAAAAGGUCUAGACUAUCAUAGAUUGGAAGAUUCCAAGAACAGUAAGAGAUGUGCAAUAUUUUUUGGACUUUGCCAAUUAGUAUCAGAUCUUCAUCAAGAUUUUUUUUUCAAAUUAUAGCUCAACUUACACGUUUGACUUGUAAAGACAAAUUUGAAUGGAAUAAAGAAGCCAAAGUAUUUUUUAUGCUUUAAAAAAAGAAUUUAAAUUUGCACCAAUUUUAUAUUUUUUUUACUUCUUGAAGGUAUUUUUUAUAGAAACAAAUACAUUAAACUUUGUUUUAGAUGCACUAUUAUCAAAAAUAAGAACAAAUAACAAAUUCCAUCUAGUAGAUUUUCUUUUUAAAAUGAAAUUCAAUAACCUAGAUUAAUUAUAAAAUCUACGAUAAAGAGCUGUUUGUAAUUUUGGAUUUAUUUUAAGAAUGGCAUUAUUAUUUAAAAGGCAUCUUGAGUCUAGUCACUAUGUAUACAAAUCACAAGAACCUUGCGUACUUCAUGUCAACAUGCUUUUGUAUAAUAACACUACUAUAUGAUAAAAAAUAAAGAUAUGAAUAUUAUUAUAGAAGAGCCUAGUAGGAACAUAUCAUAGAAAAAUAAGGAUAAAUAAUAAGAAGGUAAUAAAAGAUUUAGUCUUAAUGCUCACUUUAGAAAAGAAACUUCUAUUUGCUUUGGAGUGGCAUAAAUACUUCAAAUCGAAUUAAAUAAAAUAAAUAAUUGAUAUAGAUAUGUUUAGAAGGAAAUAAUCAAUAGAUUCAAGCAAAAUUUAUCUCAAAUUAUCAAAUAUUGAUAUUUGGAUAGUACCAGUUGUCAACCUGAGUCAAAAUCAGAUCCCAAAGUAUGAAAGUGCAUAACUAUGGCAAUUCUAAAGUUCUUUGGUAGAUUGAAGAGUGGGAUUUGAGAGCAAACUAGCAAAGAGAUUUUUUAAUAUUAGUUUUAUGUAUUACAAUAAUGUAUUUUGAAUCAUUGCCAAGCUUAUUGGAGCAUGUUUUUAUCAAGAUUUGAUUUUAAGAUCACUUAUCAAUCCAAAAAAUAAUAAGAUUUAUUACAUGCUUGUUUUAGACAUUAUUAUCUAGAGAUUUUUAGUAGCGACAAAUAUAAAAGGUAGUCAAAGACUUUGUAUAAUUAUAUGAUAUUUAUUCAAGAUCCAAAACUCCUUGUCAUUGACCUUAUAGACUUCUUUAGCCAUUACUUAUUCCAAAAUAACCAUGGUCUUCCGUUUCUAUGGAUUUUAUUACAAAUCUUUCAAUCUCAAGUUUGUAUGAUUUUAUAUUUGUAGUAGUAGAUUAUUUUAUCUAGAUAGCAUAUUUUGUAUUAUGUACAAAAUCUAUCACAAGUAAAGAAAUAGCUAAGUUUUUUCUUAACAACAUCUAUCGCUAUCACGGAUUGCCUAAAGAUAUUAUAUUGGAUAAAAAAAUUCAAUUUAUUUGGGUGAAUCAAGUUUUGAAGCAAUAUUUGAGGUGCAUCAUCAACUAUCAUCAAGAUGAUUAGACAAUUUUUUUAUCAUUGACAAAUUUUGUAUAUAAUAAUUUGGUAUAUUGUUUCACUCAACAAAUAUCUUUGUUUAUCAAUUAUGGUAAUUAUCCACAAUUAAAUACUUUUGACUUUUUAAAAGUUGAUAAUCUUGUAAUAGAAGAUUUGGCAAAUUAUUUGUUAAAGCUACAUGCAACAAUAAAGAUGCAAUUAAAGGGAGCUCAAGAAUGACAAAAGAUUAAUGUACAUGAUUGUUAUAAGAAAUAACCACAAUUCAAUGUAGGUGAUAAAGUAUAAUUACUUUGUCUCAAUAUCAAGACUACUCAUUUUUAUAAUAAGUUGGACUAUCAUAGGCUUAGAUCUUUUUUUAUUAGUGAAUAAAUCAAUCUUUUUGCUUAUCAAUUAUAUCUACGAGAUUCUAUGAAGAUCCACCCUAUAUUUUAUUUGUAUCUUUUUGAGCCAUAUAAGACAUUGAAUAUCUCAAGAAGAAGACAAAUACUACCUCUUCUUAUAGAAAAGGAUAAUAAUCAAAAGUUCAAAAUGGAAGAAGUCUUAGAUUUAAGGUGGUAUUGAAAUAGGUUAGAAUAUCUUCUUCAUUAGCAUGGAUAUGCUAUCAGUGAACGUACAUGGACGUGAGCAAAGAAUCAUGCAAAUGCAACAAAGAUAGUUGAAGCUUUUUGUACAAUAGAUAAAUAAACUUUGUUGUAAGUUACUAGUUGGUUAUUGAUAACCUUGAGAAUUAGACUAAUGAUUAGGCAGUUUAGUUAAUUACAGUAGGUUGUUAAUGGAAUAAAUGGUUAAGAAUUCAAAGGGUCAUUACCUUUGGAAUCCGUUGGCCGACGGUCCAUCUUUUGGUAGGAUAAAGAGGUUGAGGAAAAGGAGAUCAGGGCUAGACUAUGAGAGUCGUAAACCAAGAGGUUAGACUGUGAUAGUUGUAAGCCGGGACAAGCUUGGUGCUACCUCUUUUUUUUUCUAUGUUGUUGACAAGUAAUGGAUAGUUUUUGAAUUCUGAGAAGUUAGUCUAGAGUGCCAGACUGUGAGAGUCGUAAGCCGAGAUAUUGAAUUCUCUGUGAUGAAUUGAGAAACUGAAUACAAUAAGUAAGCUAGAGAUCAGUAAUUAAAUAUAUAUAAACCACAAAGAGAGUAAGUGGGAGAUGAACUGAUAAGAAUAUGGAAGUAUUGUUGAAUUCAUAGUCAUAGAAUGAAUUAUGUGUUGAAUUAAGAUAGAAGUAGUAAGCCUUGGUGUUAUUUAGUUUGAUAAUUGAUUUUAGAUAGCAGGAGAAAAAUCAAUUGUGACCCUAACAAAUCCAAUUCAUAUAACCAGUCUUUUCUCGUGUUCAAAUCUACCUCUAAUAGUUCAAUUGCUUUGGUAUACUCAAGCUUGAAGACAACGAGAAGAACAUUUUGGCACCGCUGUCAAAGAAAUGAUAAUAAUAUGAAAUAUUAGAAAUUGAUUGUAUAGGAGAUGGAAUUAUAUGUUGAAUGAGAAUGUGAAAAGAACUAGUUUUAUGGUUACAAAUAUGUGAGUUAUAAUUCAAGGCAGUAUUGAUUUUGUAAAGAAGAAUAGAAAAUUAUAAGUGAUAAUCAUGAAAGGGAGGAUUAUCAAAGAAUUAAUUGACAAGCGAAAGAAAGAUAAGAGCAAUUAUACAUAAGAAAUCUCCUAUGAGAACGACAAAAAGGAAUUGUAUGUCCAAGUAAAACCAAAAGAAAAAAAAAUCAAAUUCAAAUAGCAAGGAGACUAGUGAUAACACCAAUGGCCGCGAGAGUGCCAGAAGUACCAAUUGUAGUACAAAUGGGAGGAGUAGGAGACCAAACUACAAGUAUGGCACCAUUAUCUAUUUUUAAUAGUUGGCCAGGUUCUGAUCAUGAUCACCAUAUAUCUCAAUUCUUGACAGCCUGCGUGGCUAAUAAUGGUAGAAUUAAAGACAUUUGGUUGAGAUGGUUGCCAGCAACUUUAAAAGAUACAGCUUUUAAAUGGUAUAUUCGGCAACCAGUGGAUAGAUUUCUCAAUUGAGAAGCCUUGAGGAAUGCCUUCCUAAUCCAUUUUAGACUAAUUGGAUUUGAAGAUCAGCUUGGAGAAAGUUUUAUAACUAGCAGGAUGUUUGCGGAGGAAUGAGUGGAGUCCUAUUAUGGCCGGAUUGCGGAUAUACUUUGUAAAUGGUCAAAUAAUCAAAUAUCAGAUGCAUUUAUAUUGUCGAUAUUAAUCAAUGGUUUGCAUCUACCAGAAUUGAAAAUAUUUGUAAAAGAGGUUUGACCAGCUACAAUAGACGCAUCGUUGGCACGAGCAAAGGUGUGAAAAGAAUGUCAUUAUGACUAAUUGUUAACAGCGGAGGCCACAAUGAUUCCAAGUUCAGGAAGCCAACAAAUACAAUCAGAAAAUGUAUCAAUGGAUAAUUAUCCACAAAUGGCUGACUCCAACAUGAAGAAUGUUAUGUUACAAGAAUCAAUUAAUGCUACACGACUCCAAGCAAUAGCGCCAAUAACAAUGAUACCUUAUUGUACAUCGCCAAUCUAUCAACAAUUGGAGUUGUUCACAAAUGUGACUGUUAAAGAUCCAAAUGAAGCCUUGUUAUUAAAUCUAACAAAGAAGAUAGAAGAAUUGGCCUUGAAUUUGGCUAAAGUUAAAGAGAAACGACAUAAGCCUUCUAAUAUGAGACCUAAUGUAUGGUAUAAUAAUUGUAAGAGAUAAGGUCAUUUUGAUACGGAAUGUCCAUCACCUAGAUAAACAGGUAUUCAAUAUACAUUUUGUGGAAGAAAGCACCCUACUCAAAAUUACUAGCAUUUAUAAAGGCAACAACAAUUCACUAAUUAGACGAUGAUCCCACCGACUCAGUGAAAAGUCAAUCAAGUUCAAACAAAAAAUAUGUAUGGAUGGAAUGGAAAUCGAUCUAAUUGACAAAAUUGAACAUUCAAUAACUUUCAAAGUUCCAAUUUUAAUCAAGGGUCUACAUCAAACCCUCAGAACUACGGGAAGAAGUAGUAGAAGUAUCAGCAAUAUAUUCCACUGACAUCAUCGAACCAAGUACCCUCUAUACAAACGGGACAGCCAGGAUUAUUUUCUAAUCCUACAUGGAAUAAGCCUAGUAGGUAUAUACCAGUUGAACAACCCAAUAUGCCAGAUGGAGGUGCAAGAAGACCACUUCGUUGUUUUCGUUGCAAACAGAUUGGUCAUUAUGCUAGUAAAUUUUCUAAUCUCAGAGUCAAUGACGAUUACGCAUCAGUGUGUGUGAAUUGCAAGCAGUCAAGACAUACUUAUCAACAAUAUAAUGCUCCAUUCGAUUUCAAUAAUGGAGAUCAGCAAAUCCAAAGCCAAGGAAAAAUGGAGGAGAUAAAUCAAGGUCUUCAAGAUUCUCUGGUAAAUCGAAUGGAAUGUGUUCAAGCCAUUCUUAUCAAGAGUCAGAAAAAGAAAAAAUGACCAAUUCAACAUUUGGGUGAUCUUGAAGCGAAGGGCCAAUUGGAUCCAAUUAUGGGGCCCUCUUAUCCAGGUCUUGAAAUGGGCCCCUUACUCAGUAUAAGACCUGAAUUAGUUGUGCAUCCUAAUGAAUUAUCAAUUACGGAGGCUUUGGUUUCCUGUCAAGCUAUUUCAUUCUCUACAUAGUUUUGAGAAACGUCCUUUCCGUGGAAAGAUCCUCUUAGAGGUGUGAAUUCUAAAGAAUCAAUAUCAAUCCAAUUAGGAGAACAAUCUUACCCGUUGAAAGAACCGAUUUUAUAGGCUCUGUCAAAUUUAGUUCUAGAGCUUUACCAAUUUUCAAUAUAGAGAAAAUCAAUUUACCUACGUUAGUGUCUAGGACUGGGAAGAAGAAACGGACAUUAUUUUAGAGAUUCUUGAAAUUCCAUGAUAUCAACCAAUUAAUUUAGGUGCAGGGGAGGCUCCUCAAAUCAUUCAGAUUUAUGACGGUAUAAAAGGCAAGGAUGGAGUUUUGUGAUGCUAUAUUUAUCAAACUGAAGUAUGUACUACAUUGGAAGGUUGCCACUUGGACAGUUGUGGUGGAUAUUUUGCGGGGAAUAGCACGGCUCGUAAAGCUUUACAAGCUGAUUAUUAGUGGUCAAUAAUGUUUGUAAAUGCCUACUAAUUCAUCUGUCAUUGUGAUCCAUGUCAGAGAACGGAUCAACCUACUUGAACUUCAGCAAUGCUAUUGGUACCAAUUCUGGCUCAAGCGCCUUUUGAAAAAUAGAGAAUUGAUUUUGUAGGACCAAAUACACCAGCCUCGAGAAAUGGACAAAAAUGAUAUAUAAUAGUAGCAACGGAUUACGUAACAAAAUGGGCUAAAGCAAUAGCUACGAAAACUGAUAGUGUAAGUACAGUAGCAAUCUUUUUGUAUGAAAAUAUUAUUACACGUUUCGAUUGUCCACAAGAAUUGGUUAGUCAUCGAUGAACUCAUUUUAUAAAUAGUACAAUUGAAGCACUUACGGCUAAAUAUGAGAUAAAACAUCGAAAGACUACACCGUAUCCCCUAGAACCAAUGGACAAAUGGAAAAGACUAAUAGAAUUUUAUGUAAAAUCUGAACAAAAAUAAUUUUAGGAGUGGGAACGGAUUGAGACACUAAGUUAUUCGCAGCUUUAUGGGCAUACCGUACUGUGUAUAAAGUUACUACCAAUGCUACUCCUUUCCAAUUGAUUUAUGCCCAGGAAGCAAUAUUACCUAUUGAAUUGGAAGUCCAAAGUUUACGAAUUGCUAUAGAUACUAAAUUGGGAGAUCAAGAUUCAUUACGGUACUAUUUAGAAGAAUUAGAACAAUUGGAUGAAACUAGAGCCAAUGCAUUAAUGUUCAUGGAAACUACCCAAAAAUGAAAGAAGACUUAUUAUGAUAGUAAGCUUAGACCAAAAGCUUUUAUGCCAAAUGAUUUGGUACUUCUUUAUGAUUGUCGAUUUAAAAAAAAUUCAGAAAAAUUUCAAGUUCGAUGGGAUUGGCCAUAUCGAAUUAUUGACGGAUUUCCAAAUAAUUCCAUACAAUUGGAAGAUUUUACGGGUACUAAAUUUAUGACACGGAUCAAUGGCAAUCAGCUUAAAUUUUACUAUACAUAAACCCGAGAUGGGUUUUCUGUUCCAAAAAAAGGAAGGGGAUAAAUAAUGAUGAUGAUAGGAUAUUUCAUCAUGACAAAUCGUGGAAAAUAAGGGGGAGUCGACCCAAUUGAUUGGACCAUAGUGAGAAGUAGGAGGGGGAUUCUUGACAAGCAUCGUGUUUUCUUUUGUAGUUAAAGAGAAGAUAGCAAACAUGGUAUCUGAAAAAGCAAGGAUGGAGAUCGAUUGGAAGAAAUGGCAAGAACGGCUGCAGAUAGAGGUUGCAAUGUUGCAGACUAAACUAGCCGCAUUAGCGAAGGCCAAUAAUUUAAUGCAAACCAAUAUGCCAGUUUUAGCGAUAACACCUCCAGAGAUAUCUUUGAAAUUGAUAGAAGAAUGGUAGAAGAUGUUAGAGAAGCGCGACAACCAAAUUGCCAUCUUCAGUCUCAAGUAUCGAAAUUGGAUUUGUUGAAUGAAGAUUUGAUGGCAUGUUUGGAUGGAGAACCAUCGAACACCGAGGCAGACGACGAAGAUGUAGCAGAGAAGAAAGUCACUAAUUCAAAGGAUGAUAAGCCAACGCCAUUGACUGAAGAAGCCAAUGCUGCUACGUCUUUAUAAGUAGAGGCCAAAUAAUAUUUGCGAGGACGUUGCAUAGAUAAGAGUGGGGCUAUAUAGAAUAGGCAAAUAAACUUUGUCGUAAGUUACUAGUUGGUUAUUGAUAACCUUGAGAAUUAGACUAAUGGUUAGGCAGUUUAGUUAGUAGCAGUAGAUUGUUAGUGGAAUAAAUAGUUAAGAAUUCAAAGGAUCAUUACCUUUAGAAUCCACUGGCCGACGGUCCAUCUUUUGGUAGGAUAAAGAGGUUGAGGAAAGGAAGAUCGGAGCUAGACUGUGAGAGUCGUAAGCCGGGACAAGCUUGGUGCUACCUCUUUUUGUUUCUAUGUUGUUGACGAGUAAUAGAUAGUUUCUGAAUUCUGAGAAGUUAGUCUAGAGUGCCAGACUGUGAGAGUCAUAAGCCGAGAUAUUGAAUUCUUUGUGAUCAAUUGAGAAAUUGAAUAUAAUAGGUAAGCUAGAGAUCAGUAAUUAAAUAUAUAUAAACCACAAAGAGAGUAAGUGGGAGAUGAACUGAUAAGAAUAUGGAAGUAUUGUUGAAUUCAUAGUCAUAGAAUGAAUUAUGUGUUGAAUUAAGAUAGAAGUAGUAAGCCUUGGUGUUAUUUAGUUUGAUAAUUGAUUUUAGAUAGCAGGAGAAAAAUCAAUUGUGACCCUAACAAACCCAAUUCAUAUAACUAGUCUUUCCCCGUGUUUGAAUCCACCUCUAUUAGUUCAAUUGCUUAGGUAUAUUGAAGCUUGAACACAAUGAAAACAACACUUUUUAUAAAUGAUAUCUAUCAAAAUUAAGAUGAAGAAUAACAAAUCUUUGCUCUAAAAGAAACAAGAUCCAAAGAAGACAACAUUUUAUUUUCUACCCUUUUUUUAGCUUCUAUAUAUUUGUAAUACUAAAGAGAUGGAAAAUCAACAACUUAUAGAUUCGAUCCAAGAGCUUUCACUUGUUGACUUACCAAAUGAGAUAUUACAAUUGUUACAACUUUCAAGUUGACAUUAUUGAAAUAAAGUUCCUUAAGAAUGACAUAUUCUUCUUCAAAUAGAUGACGAGAUAUGUAUUUGAUAUCAUGACUUUGGAAGAGACUCCCAAUGUUUGGUGAUUUUAUUAGAUGUAAAAACAACUCUUGAUGAUGUUUCAAAUAUUUUAUUUGAAAGAAGUUAUGAAGGCCUCAACAACAAUCAAAUAACACGGUGGUCUUCUUAUCUUAGUAUAGAAUAUUAUUAUUGGUUGAGAGGAUCCAUCAACCAUCUUCAAAGAAAACAAAUAUCAAGGUAUGUGGCAAAUAUAAUUUGUUACAUUUUGUAAUUCAUUAAUAUAUGAUGAUCACUCUUCAUAGAACUCAUGUUUAGAAGGAAAGGUAAUAUCACGGAUAUACAUAUGUAUUUUAAUAAAUAUCUAUAUGAUUAGAUAGAAGUAAAUAAAAGUAGAUAAAAAUAUGUAAAUUUCAGAAUAUCUCCUAAGGAUGUUGCUUUGACUUUAGAUAUAUUUGUAAUUGAUUGAUAGAUUAGAAAAUUAGUCAAGAAGUUAAUCAUGUGUUGAUAGCUUGCAAAACAAGCUAACUAUGUGGCAUACAUAUAGAAAUCUUAUCUUAUAAGUUAAGAUACAUGUCUUGUAAAAUCAACACAUUUUGGAAGUUUUAUAGAACAUUGCCAUGUAUUUGCUAAUUAAGUAUAUAUAUGGAGGCAAGAGUAAAGCCUUCUUCACUCUUGUCAAUGCCUUUCUAGUCUAAUCUUGUUUCAAGACUUUCUAAACUUCUUGUUUUUGGCCAUAGCCAUUCUAGUUCAAUAUUAUAUGAUCUUUGAAUAACUUUUUAGUUCUUUUCUAUGACACAAGAGUGUAUUGAGGAUUUCUUUCUUCAAAAUUGAUAUCCUUGACAUACAAUUGGCCUAAUUGAGUGAAUUGUUUAGACUAUCAAACAUAGAUUAUGAAAGUAUGGAUUACUUCAUGACAAUCAUUAUAAUUAAAACUUAAUAUUUUUGUAGAUUUCAAUAGAUUAUUGUUUCAAUAGACAAGUAUCUUUAAUAUCUUAUAGUUCUUACUAGUUAUUGUAUGGAUAGGAGCCAAUUCUACCUAGUUCAGUAUGUAAGAAGCUAGCUCCAAUUGUGGACUUAGAUGAUCUUUAUGUUUGAACUCAAUGUCUAUAUGAUUAAAUAGAGUUCUUUGAAAAAGCCAUGCCUAUGGCUAUGAAAAACUUACCUAUUGGUCAACAUCGAGAUACUUUAUGAUAUGCUUGCAUUUAUAGUAGAGCUUAUUAAACCCACUUGUAAAAAUUACCUAAAAAAGAUUAUGUGUAUUUGCAAUAUGAGGUACAUAUAAUACUUGAUAUUAAGGUAGGGCACACAAUUUUGCAUAUAAAGAAUGUAUUUCUUAAUAGUAUUUUGUUAUUAAAAGGCAAAGAUGGACAAGAGUGUUGAAAACAUUCAAAGAAUUGUACUCCUUAUCAUCUUCCUAUUGAUGAGUACAAUGUAUUGUGUUUAAUGAUCUUUGUUUAUAUGAUAGCUAUCAUGUGAUAUAGCAUCGAGUAUCAAAUCUCAUCACAUGUAUGUAAUUUAGUUUGGUUAAUGGUUUUUCAUCCAAUAGUAGUUUUUUUGUUAAUUGACUUAUUCAUGUUAAUUAAAAUUUGAGUACUUAAAUAAAGAAAAAUUCUUGACUUAACAUUCUUGUCAAGUCAAGUCUUGUGAGUGAUUUUGAGAGUUAGAGAAUUUGUUGUAAGGGUUUGUUGGCUAUGGUGUUUUAGCCAUUUUAAUAAAGUUUUAAGGUUCCUCUUAUUUCUACACUUGCAUUCUUAGAUUCUCUCUUUGUAGUGUGAGAGAUAGCUUGAUUUAGUUUGGUAUAGAUUUCCAAUCUUUCUUUGAAAGUGUAUUGGGUGUACAUUUGUAUUUGGUUUAAAUUACAUACUUUAUGAUUGGUUGAUAGCACUCAAUGUAUUGUGCAUAAUGACCUUUGUUUAUAAAAUAAUCUUGUUAAAUUGUGAAAUAGAUAAAUUACAAUAAAACUUUGACUAAUGAAUACACUAUUGUAUCAUUGAAAGAAAGAAAGUAGACAAUUAAGAGUUACAUAUAAAGUAGAUAAAAAACUUUUUCUACUUACACAAAAUCUAGAAAGUUUUAAAUGAAGAUUAAAACAUAAGAAAGUUAUUAAUAAGAUUGAAAAUGGCUUUAAAUUUUCUUCUAUUUAUAUUAUCUAUCAAAAAAGUCUUAUAAAAGCUUCUUGAAAAAUGUAAGGCUUAUGGUUGAAGUGUUAUGUUAUAGGUUUCUUCUAAUAUAACUUUCUAAAAGGAAAAAAUAUAUAGAAAAAAUUUCAAUAGUUAUAUAGGAUAUCUAUAAAAAUCUAAAUAUAAUCUAUAUCUUUGAAAUCUUAAAUCUUAAACCUUAAACCUUAAUUUUAAUGUAAAGAAGAUUUGUUAAUUACUUUAAAUUAAUAUUAGAUAAUAAUUACUCUUGUUGGAUAUUGAUCUAUAAGUAUCCAUCUAAAAAUACUAUUUUUUGUAUUGAAGUUAAGAAGUUAUAGUAAAAAAAUUAUGUUAAGAUUAAUUUUACACCAAUAUUUAAUUUGAAUGAGAUUUUAUAAAAUUCAACUUUAAUAUGGAUUAUUAAGAUUGAAUUUUAAUUAAAAAAUUAGAAAAAAAUAAAAUAGUAAGUUGGUAAGUAAUAUAUAUUUAAGAUUAAUUCUAACAAAAGCAAAUUUUUAAGAACAAAAAUACUAAUAUUUUUGAUCUUACAAUGGAUAUUUGAUACUAUUUGAUUUAUCUUUCUCACUACACAUACACAUAUGACUAUUGGUCGUUAUGGUUUAAUAAUUAUUUUCUAAAUGUGGUCUAUCAUUUCAUAAUAGAAUAUAUAAUCAUACAUCUUUGCAAAUCAUGUAGCUAGUAAUGGCAUUUAUGCUUGGCUUCCUACAUUUACAAGCUUCACAUAGUAUGUCUAAUAUGGAUUUUGGAAUAAAGCUUGCUAUUGGCAAUAAUUUCUAGCUUAUUUAGCUAAGAUCCAAAUUUUAAAUUCAAAAGAAGAUCAAAAAAGCUGAAGAUUUUGUUAAUAUAUUGCCAAAUAUUUUGAAUAUUAAGAAGCCUACUUUCAUUUUUAGUAUUACACUUUUUAAUGUAACAAACUCAAUUUGAUGUUGUUUUUAGAUGAAGAUUAAUUACUAUUAAUAUCUAUAUCAAUCAAUGAAUCUAAUAACUAUAUUAAUUAUGUAACACUAAAUUUUUAGCUUUAUUGACCUACUUCUAAUAGUUAUGACUUUAAGUUGUUUUUGUCUAUUGUAUCUAGAUAAUAUAGAAUUAACUUUUUAUCUAGAGUUAUCUUGCAUAUUUUUUCUCAACAUUGAUUUUAUCUUCAUCUUCCAUAAGGUAUUAAAAUUAGAAGUAUCAAUAUUAGUAAUAAGGACUUCUUUUCUAUGGAUUAGAAUUCAUAGUUUUGUGGAAGACUACCAAAACCUAUGCAUUAUUAUCCUAAAAUAGCUCUCUUGAUUGCCAUGUAGCCAAAUGUAUUGGUGACUUAAUGCGUUUCUCAUACAUAGCCAUUCCAAAUAGAUAUUUUCUUAAAACCCUAAACCUGACAUCUCGAGACACUUCCCUUUUCUCGGUCAAGCUUAUUUACGCAUUCCAAAUUAUGGCUUCACAUCCAAACAAUCUCUGUGGUCUAGUCUCAUUCACCCACACUUGCAGUCAGAGCAAAGCCUGGAUUUGUAAUCUUCUCCAUGAACCUUUUCAGACCCAUUGAAAUACAUGAUAAAGAAUGAACUCCAGAGUUGCUGACGAUAUCUUUUUCCAAUUACAUUCGACGUUUUACCAUUUCCAUGCGUGCACAAAGUCCAGCAGUUGGAAUAUCGGGUUCUAGAUUGCUAACACGAAAGCUAUCGGCUUCUUAUGCAGAAAUUCACAUCAAAAAAAUUUCAACAUAAAAGAAUGCAAUAUAUAUAUAUAUAUAUAUAUAUAUAUAACCCACAUUAGUCCACAUAAAACCAAUGAACACGAUCUACACAGCACAACCGAAACAGAUAAUAGCGCAGUUGAUCCACAUCGUUUAUUUCCAUUUACUCCAAGGAAACUCUACACGUGUACAUCUGGAAAGGAUAGAAAAUCCACAAACAGUUGACGUAAUGAAAAUGCCAAAAUGUAUGCCAGAGCUUCUAAGGUUGAAUUAUGAUCAAAGAAUAUAUGUGCGUACGAUUCGUUUGAAUGCCUUUGUUCGAGUUAAAGUCCAAUUCACAAAUCACCUCUUGAAUGCAGAUUUCAUCUGCUCCGGACAACUCGAUGUUUCUAACCUUGAGAUCAUCCGGCAUCCCCAUGGGGUCUUCAGAACUCUAUCAAGAUCUUGCUUUGGAGUGGUUCCAAUGUACGCGUUCUCAGAUCUCAUCUGUGGUCUAGUCUCAUUCACCCACACUUGCAGUCAGAGCAAAGCCUGGAUUAGCAGGUUAAUAAUGCGAAGCACAGGGAAAGAUUACAGAACAUGAAGAGAUGAGGAUUAAUAAACUUAGAAAAUAUAGUGUUUCUAAACAAUUUUACGGUGAAAUAACCAGUACAAUCCCAGAAUUAAACACAAAGAAGACACUGAAUAAUGAGUUGGACAACCAACAUAAAACUAAAAGAUUUGAAUUUCGUCUGGACCUCCACAUCAGGCAUGCCAAGUCAUUGAGAAGUCUCACGUCAAGUCUCUGAUAUAGAUGGAUACUUAAAACUACAUGAUUAUAUCGUACCACUAGAAAAACCCGUGUUUAUCUGUAAACAAAUUCAGAGCAGAACCAGGUCACCAAAACGAGAAGGAUUCAAAUACGUACGUUCGCAGAUGAGUUACUCGUAGAUGGUUUGAGGGUACUCUGUGGCGCUAAGGGUAAGCUGUGAGAGGCAGUCAAUCCAGGUAACUGUUGAUCAAGGUCAACUCCAUGACUAUUAGAGUCCUUUUCCCGCUGCACCCGCUGCUCCUCUAAAACUUUCUCAUACCGCAAAAAAUUGGGUUGGUGCGUCGAUGAUAGUAGGCGGGCCCACAUACGAUCGCUUGUAUUUACAUGCCUCUGUUUCUCAACAGCUCUCUGUUGCAUAUCAAUUACCAACAAUCAAUUGAAACUCGACAUAACACAACAUAAGCAACCCGUUACGAAUUGCAGUUAAUGCGUAUCAUCGACAAGCUGAUACAAAUCUAAGGAUCAUGCUUGUACCAUUAGCUGCAACAUGAAAACGUCUUAGAUAGAUUAAGUUACAGAUUGUUUUCAAAGGAAGAUUUGUGCUCGGAAGUAGGAAAUUGAGAUCCAUGAAGAAAGACGAUAUCUGUACAGAGAUAGGGAUGUAGCAAUGGCGGUUGUUGACAGGACCAGCUGUAAACCCACAAAAACCAGCCAUAGCACCGUGGAUGGCACUAUGUGCCAACAAAGUGCAGUAGACGUUAUCCGAUGCAAUGCUAGGCACAGCUCGAAUCAUAUACGUUGGAUCUGCCAAACACAUCCACGUACAUUCAAAGAUUAAAAUUCCCAUUCGGCGGAUUAUAUUGCAGUAACAAAAGCCCACAGACCAUUUACAUUGGAUAAAAUGGGCAAACUGCAAAUGAAAACAGCAUUUUGCUGAAUUUAACUGGCUGCGAAAAAUCAAAAUCCGCAGUUAACUUAACCCGUUGAAAAGGAUGUUUGCAAAACCUUGAUCCAAUCAGGAUCUGCAAUUAGUACUGAACCAAACCGUUAUCAAGAUUUUACUAACUUAGAACACGGUUUAUUCAAAGUUAUCAGAUAAAAUUGGAGCAGAUGAGUUUACACAUUUUACCUAUGUAUUUCAGCGUGAUGGAUUCCUUAUGAACCUUCAAAAAAUGUUCCUGCAACAACGAAGACAUUUUCAAAAAAACUACCAACUUCUACAAAACUAGUUGGUAGUUGGCAGUGAAAAUAGAGUCAAUAACCAAACGAAAUACAUUGGGUGAUUGGUUGCCAACGAAAAAUGUUUAGUGUUGGCUCGUUUUCUAUAAACACCGUUCUGUUCUCUGACGGAAAUCAUAUAAGGUAGUAACUUAUAAAAUAAGAUGUCUAUGUAGUUUCGUUUUUCUAGCAAGAACUUUUGUAACGUAAAUAAUUACGAGUUCAUAAAAAGAGUACAAAAAUAUAAGACUAUUGCCCUGCACAGGAAGGUUCAAAACGUUGAAAACGAGAGCUUCGUGAAGGACACUAGCAUGCCUGAGGCUGGACAUACAAAAGAAAAAUGCAUCGUCCGCAUAAAAUAGAAUUAAAUAAGGGAUUAGUUAAAGAAAUAGGAGGGGAAUGGCAUGCACGUUUAACCUUCAGCCUUUGACAAAGCCAGAGACCAACGUCAAGCAGCAGGCGAUUGCCAGAAGCGUCACUCAUCUUGUCAAGAGAACUAAGGCUUUCAGCGAUAAGUUCCUGACCUGAACCUUCUGCUACAACAACCACCAUAUGACCAUUUUCCCUCAGCCUACGGUACACAAACUCAUACAGACCAUCCUCCCCUUCCAGAAAGAAAGGUACUUCCGGAAUCAAGCAGCAGUCCUGUUUUCCAUAACCGAUGGCAGAUACGGUGCAUCAGAAUCACAUCCUUCAACUACGUGGAUAAUCAAGGAAAAUAGUAUCUACUACCCAUAGUACCCAUUAUUACCAUGCAAUUAACAGAAGACGUAAUUUCAAUGUAUGACUCAUGCGGCAGACACUAUUUCAAAAAUAUAUAGACUUCUUCAAACCCAUCGAAAGGAGUCAGAUCAUUAAAAGCGACACUUAAACGAUAUUACAGAUCUGUUAGAGACACUAAUGAUUGCCAGAACUGUCAAGAAGAUAAUUACCACAUCACGACUCGCAAGAGUAGCGUACAUGGCAAUGUAGCCUGCACACAUGAACCGCAUCAAUAAAUAAUUUGAUUCCCAAACAUGGAAAACUCAAUCAUCAUGUAAAGUUCUAUCAUUGUCAAAUGUUGUAGAAAAGUCUGCAACAGAAUGGUUCGAUUCGAGUAAUGUCAGAACAUUACCACUGUAACGACCCAUGAGUUUGACCACCCCAACACCAUUAUGAGUACUUUCUGCUUCCACAUGAGCUGCAUUGAUUGCUCGUUGUGCUUCUUCCACAGCAGUGUCAAAUCCAAAGGACUUAUCAAUUAUCUGUUCAUUGAAACAAAUCCCAAAAGAGAACAAGUCAGAACGCACACGAAUGAAUUCAGGCAACAUGUGGAAAUAAGCACACAUGUGAAAAAGCGCGUCACUGUGUAGUAGGGAUGAUGUAUAGUACAUCAAUGUCAUUGUCGAUCGUUUUGGGGAUCCCCGCAACAACGACCUUCAAACCUCGCUUGAUUAUUUCCUGCAAUCAGCACUCAACUUAAUUAAGGACAAGCUUCACUGCAGCAGAGAACUAUGAAUACCACAUAGGAUACACUUAGAAACUUUCUAAAGAUUGAUCGAGCAAAAUAACGAACCUUGACAAACAAGGUGCUAAUGAAAGAACCACAUUUGCGUCUAAUUGGACCAAACUUGACACCGAAAAAAUUCCUCUGAUUCUGAUGAUUCGUUUAAAGGAUGCAACUAGGAUAGAUCUUUGACAUAGCUUCUCUUUCUGCAUCUUCAAGACUGCAAGCGCCAUGAAUACAGAAAACUUUGUUAAAUAUAAACAAUGCUAAGACUUACAAGUGCAAUAAGUCCAAAGUUUAACUACAGUGAACACGACACACCUCAUGAAUGGCUUCUGCACCCUUGUGAGUACCAUCUCCACCAAUAAUGUACACCUGAAGAAGUCGCACAGGUUUAAAAAGAACAUUUCUUGACUUGCUCACAACGCUUUUAGAGUAUCAGAUUGAAAAACCCUUUUAGUGAACAUCCACGUCCAGAACUUCAAGCUUUAUCUUUGUAAUCAUAGCAAUACAUUAAAUAAUAAUAAUAAUAAUAAUAAUAAUAAUAAAUAAGUAAUAAAAAAUAUAAAAAGGCUUCUACAAGCACCCUGCGUUUCACAACACUGGCAUGAAAAUAAAACGCAUUUUGGGUAUAGGAUUGAAAUAUUUUCAUUCCAGGACAUUUGCACUGCAUCUACAAUAUCCAAAGUUGAAUGUAAUAAUAUUUAUUGAUGCGUAUACCUGAUUGAUCCCACGGUUCUCAAUAGAGUCCACUAUCUUCAUCGUGUCAUGGCCGCCACGGGAGGUCCCCAAAAUGGUGCCACCUCUCUUAUGAAUGUCGUUCACCACUUUGGGAUUCAAAGUAAUUGUGUUGCGCGCAUAGAAACCUCUGUAACCUCCCUGCCAAUAGCAACAUAUCAAAAAAUCAAAUCCAAACGGAUUCCGAACACCACUUUUUCAUGAGCUCUAACCUGGAAAAGAUAGUAGUACUUAUCUAUUAAGGACAAGGCGGAAUGUAUAUGAAAACAACAGAAAGAGUAAUGUGAUAGAAAAGAAACACACAUCAAUCCCAUAAAUCUCUCGAACGCCAUAUUGAUACCAAAGUGCACAAACAAUCUCACGAAUCACAGUAUUGAGGCCUGGGCAUAGGCCACCACAUGUGACUAUACAUGCCUUCACCUCUUCCGCCCUGAAAUAAAUCUGCAAGUCCAAAGUGUAGAUUGUGAGAUCUUAUAAUAUGAAGCCUUCUAAGCAGUGAAAUCAUUGGUACUAUUAAUCAUUAGAAAUCAUAGACUGACAUGUCAACGGCUCUGCACACGGGUAAUAAUCUGUGUCUAAUGAUCGGUUAGAUCAACGAGGUUUCUGUCGCAUGAUAACCACAGAAAAAGGAGAAAACAUACCUUGUCUCUUGGCCCAGCACGUCUGAAGUGUAAGCCAGACCCAACGUUUUCCAUGUUCACUACUAUCUGUUGUAUUCCCAGAUUAAUGUUUUAGUAUGAAUCAUUAAAUUUUGAGGUUAUCUGUGCACAACUGGAAGAAACUCAAUUACAAAAUACUGACGGAUUGAUGUCAGUUGGUAAGAGUAGAUAUUCGAAAGUCAACAACUCCAAACAGAGUUGAUGUAUCAAGCUUGAACCCUACUUUGUUGAAUCCAUCUCAAAGCUGGCCAAUAAUACAAUAAGAAAGAUGUGCAAAAAAAACAUUAAUUUCACCAAAAACGAGUGAAGGCCUAAAAGUUAAAAUCUGUCAAAGCACCACUAAAAGUCCAAGUGCUGGAGAAAAACAUUGAAGGCAAGACUCGUGACUGAACCGCAACACAACUUGAUAAUUCAAAAAAUGAGAUGAACAAAUAUUUGAAUGGCUGAUAUCCCAACCAAAUUCAAAAGGCAUAGGAAACAGAGAAUCGAAGUAGUAGUUCACACUUACAUCCUUCGCAACAAAAUCGUCAUCAUCCACAAAGUAUUUCCUGCCUCAUUUUCAAUAUUCAAAUCAGUAUCAUGGUGUCUGCAUUCCUUUGGCCAUUACUAUAUACAGCUGUAAGGCUUUCGCUGUGAUACGCAUAAUAAUAGCUCCAAGAUAUAGAGGAAUCAAGCAUUGCCCAAGAAUUCAACAAAACAUCAUAAAAACAGACAAUCAACACCUUAACAUGUUAUACAUAAAGAUCAAGCUUCAAUUGAGAAGCACAGACUUGAAGAUAUCUAGCAAUUUCUGGCUUUGAACAUGUCUUUCUGCAAGCAUGCACCUGUUACUCGGAUUAAUCCAUGACGAAAACAAGUGAAAAAUUAGUGUUGGCGAAAAUCGCAAACAAGAGAUAUGAUUUCGAUCCUUACUUAACAGCAGAGUACGCUGGGUUGAACUUCAGGGGAUUCGGAAAUGUCUGUAACAAAAUAAGAACAUACAGUUAGGCGUCAAGGUCGUUAACGACACACCAUGUAAACCUGUUUCCACCCUGAUAGGAUCACUUUUAGGCAAUGGAAAAGAAAACAAGGGAAUCGAUCUUAAAUGUAUGCUGAUUUGGAAACCACUAAUUAAGAAAGAGGAUGUAAGAAGGUAUUGAGAAUUCGGUGUCCGGAUUAAGCAACUUCAUCGUGGGUCCAUUAAUGGGCUGAAUCUAAUUAAACAAACGAAAAUAAAGAUUAUGACAGAAACCACAGAAUUACAUUCGCAAAGGAUAAUCACAGAAUCUGAUACUGAGUUAGAAACUCAUGGUAGCAAAAAUAAUGGUACUAUGAAACUGGCAAGCAAGAGGUUCUUCUUUCAUCGCCGUCAAAGAAUCCAGCUUUGAAGAUAUACAGUGAGUUCAGAGUAAAAUACUAAUCGAGUGGAAAACAGGAAGAUUUAAGGCAUUUCACAAAAUUGAAACAGAAUUCUAACCUCUAGGUCUGGAAGCCAAUCAGUGAUGUGAGGAACGUCUUCAAACGUAGAGCCGCAAGCCCCCGCCUCUGACUUUGGAUUCAGAAGCUCGGAUCUGACAACGCCCCACUUUCCAGCUGCUCUUAAUUGAAUAUUGCUCACAUCGUGCAUCGGCCGAGCCCUAGAGCUACCACGACCCCGGACCCCAAAACCCAAAAAAGCACCACGACGAGGGAGGUUGGAUACAAGAGACUUAGAAUCCGCGUUGCCAUGGCUGGCAAGGGUGACAGCAGCGUGCAGGUAGUGAGCUGGAAUAGGUGCUACUGCCGCUGCCAUGACUAAUAAGACGGCAGUUAAUAUGGAUGAUUGCGAGGUACGUUGAAACCAAGCCGGGAGAAGGAAUGGGAUGGGGGAAACGCGAAUGUAGGAUUUCGUGAACUAGGGUGUCUUCUCCAGUGUGGCAGAAGAAAAAGGAAUGAGGGGAGGGAGAGAGAGAGAGACGUGAUGAAGAGGAUCACAAGGCAGGACCCAGUUUCCCAGUCUAUGGGGGGUGUGGGGGUAGGCGGUGGGUGUUGGCAAGCAAGUAAGGGGAGUGGCGGAUGAUGCACAACAGUGCAGGUGUGUCUUCGUCUUCUUCGUCGUCGUACCACAAUGAUUCUUCGCCACUACUGCAGCACAACAGCACUGCAGCAGAAGUAGGAGUAAGUGGUGUUGGAGGAGUAAGGUAGCCGACCCAUUGUCGACCACCCCCAUUACCAACCUAUAGUGUGUCUUAUUGUGCAGUUAGUCUACCAAGUUGGUCUCACACCAAUCAAAAAAAUUCUUAUUCAAUUGAUCUGAAAUAGGUUGUGGAUUGAUUAAAACAAUGUUAAGUGAGCAAUAAAUAAAAUUUAUUUAUUGUAGUUAAAAUGGAUUAAUGUGAACUAACAAUAGGUGGUAAUUGUUGGUUGGUUGGGGUGAAAUAAUAGUAUAACUAAGUACCACACUUCUCUUGAUAGCAUUAAUAGGUGUCACACAUUGUAGUUUUGUAAAAGUUGGAUUCUUGGUUUUAUAACCCACCAUUGGUUGGAAUUCGGUAACUCUAUAUGCCCUAAAUGGGUGGAAGAGAAUCUUCAAAUAAAUCAUUUAUAUAAAUUUUUUUUUUGGACCAAAUUGUGUAAAAACACUUGGAAUCCUCUUGAUUUUUAUUUCCCUAUAUGGGAGUAUUUUUUUCCAUUUUUCCACCUAUUGGAUAUAUACUAAGUUAUUGGAAAUGGAUUAUCUACCUUAGUCGAUAAUAAGGGAAGGAAGGGGAGGAACAGAAGACAGAAGCACAAUAGGGCUCUCUCUCUCUCUCUCUCUCUCUCUUGUUGCAUUUGCAUUCUUCAAUUGCACAACAAAUUCCUUGAAGUUGCUUCAACUUCAACACACUUACACAUUUAUCUAUAUGUCAUGUAGGUCACAAAAAUAGUUUAUAAUUUUAUAUUUCAUUAUAUUAAAAUUUCUCGUCUUUGUGAAUUGUAGAGAAUUUUUUUAAUACAUUCACUUAGGCAAAAUAACUUUUUUUUUUGUGGUUAUUAUAUUAUAGAAGGAAUAGAAGAGUCUAGAGCAGACAUCUACACAAGUAAUGAUAAGCUAACUAUUAUGUAGAUUGUGGAAUUUAAAUAUAUUCAUUUAUUUGAUAUUUCAUUGAUAUUUUCACAUUUAUCUACCCAAAAAGGCCACAUCCAAUGUACAUAAGUGUUUGUAUAUUGAACUUAGCAAAAAAAACAUUCAAAAUUCAAAAUUUUGUCUAAAAAUUAAUGAAUCUCAGAUAAAGUUAGUACUACUUAACAAUUUAAGAGAUAGCACAUUAAAAAAAUGACUCAUAAACAUUAUACUUCAAUAUAAUCUUUAAUAAAAAUUUAAAUUGCAUAUAUCUACACAUGCUAAAAGAAGCACUUUGUUUUUUGAUAUUACUUUGUAACAAGUAUUUAUUAGAACCAUAUAACAUAAUGAAUGGAUGAAUACAAUAUUAUCUUAUUAAAUGUUCAACUAUUUCUUCAAUAGAUUGUUAAGUACAAUCUAUAUUGUUCAAUAUGAAGUUUAAAAAAAUCCUAUUAAAUUCAAUUAAAUAAAAAAAAAUGAUCUUUUUAUUUGCUUAAAAAAUUAUUAUGAUAAAAUAAAAUAAAAAUAGAUAUAUCUAUGAAAUUCAUGCAUAUUUUUAUAAUAAGAUUGUAAGUGGUUAUAUUCAAAUUAUUAUUUUUUAUGAUAUGAAUUAUAGAAAUAAAUUAAAGUAUAUAUAUAUAUAUAUAUAUAUAUAUAUCAUAUUGAAAUAAUUAUAAUAUAUAUAUUUUAAAUGACAUGAAAUUGUUUUUUAUUUGAUUAGAGUGGAUUUGAAAUUCUUCCAUAAUUUGUUUAUUUAAAAUCAUACAAGCACCUUUAUAUUACAAGAUAAAAUAACUACCAAUAAUAUUAUAAUUAAAUUAUUAAAUAAUUUUAAAAAUAUUAUAUCAAGGAUAUUAUUUUAAUAAUAACUUUUAAAAGAAAAUAUACUCAUUUAUCACUAAAAAGAAAAAAAUUAACAAAAAAGAUAAAGAUAUAGAAUAUAAAAGAAAUAAAACUAGAUUUUAAUUAUUAUAAAGAAAUAAGAGAGUAUUGAAUCAUAACUUGAAUAUAAAGAAGGUGUUUAUAAAAUUAAAGAUAUUCUCAUUCUUGUUUUUUUCAUAUACUAGCUACAAAAAAGAUCUUGUAGAAAUCUCAUAAAAACCACAAGGCUUAUGAUCAAAGCAUCAAAUUGUAGGUUGCUUCUUAUGCAACUCUCUAAAAGUAGUAAAUUUAUGGGAAAAGCUUUAAUAAUUAAAUGAAAUAUCUAUAAAUAUAUAAAGGUAUAGUCUAAGUCUAAGAAACUUUUUUUUUAAAAUUAAAAAGAAAAUUUUAUAUAUUUAAUAUUUUAUUUAAUUUUAAUUAAUCAAAUAAUAAAUUCAUUUAUUAAAAAAUAUCAAAAAAUAUUCUUGUAUUAACUCUUAAUAGACAUAGUUUUGUAGCUAAACUAAAAAGUAAGUUAAUGAAAAAAUGUUUAAGCAUACACAUCUUUAGAUCAUAUAAAUUCAAACAUUUACCAAUAGGAAUUAAAAUUAGAAUAAAAAUAAUAAUAUUUUAGAAGAAGUUUUUAUUAAAAGCUUGUAUAUUAAAAAUAAGAAUUCUUUAGAAUUUAUCAAUUUUUCAAUAAUUAGAGCAUGCUAUUUAUGAAGAUAUUUUUUUAAAAAAUAAUAAUAAAAAAAUUAAGAAAAGAAGAUGUAAAGUUGUAUAAAUAAAAUGAAGUCCUAAACUUACAAAAACAAUCAAGAGUACUAAGUUCAAAGUGGUCUCAUGAAGAAGUAAAUAUUAAAAAAAACUAUAUAAUAUUAAAAGUAAAUGGUAGUAAAAUAAAUAAAUAUGACAUAUAUAUUAGUAAAAAAGUAUUUUUUAAUGAAGAUUGAAGAAGAAAAACCCAUUUAUGCAUCUAUUUUAACACAUAUCUAUUACAAAAUAUUAAUAUAAGUACAUAGAGGUAAAUAUAAAUAUUUUUUAAAUAUUUUUUAUUAUUAAGAAAUAUUAUUAAAAAAAUUUAAAAUUAAAUAAGACCUAAAAUUAUUUUAAAUUAUAUUAUGUAAUUUUUAAUUUUUUUUAUAAGUUUCUAAUUUUAAAAAAAUUACUAUUAAUGCAUUUUAUAACUUAGAUGCUUAAUUCAUAAGCUAUUUGAUUCUUAAAAUUCUUUGACAUAGCCUUUUUACAUGCUAAUACACAUAGAAGCAAGACAAAACCAUCAUUAAUCAUGCCAAUAUCUUUCUUAUAAUUUAUUCUUAGCUUAAGUCUUUCUAAUUCCUUAUAUUUAGAAACCUAUAAUUUUGGUUUUUUAUUAUCUUAUAGAUAUAUAUAUAUAUAUAUAUAUAUAUAUAUAUUGAUACAUUUAUCUGUAUUUAUAUCUUUUACACCAAUUCAAUGUUUUUUUUUAACAAGCUCUUGUACAUAUGCUUAUUUUUGUUUUUAUGAUUGUGUAAAUUAUGCAUCUUCAUCCUAACAUAUUUUCGUUGCAUAAGUUUUUUUUUUUUUUUUUUUUUUUUUUUUCCCUCUUCAUAUUGUGGUUUUCUUUUCUUAUUUCUAUAAUUUUUAUUUUUUUAAUACUUUUCUCUAUAUUAUAAAUAAAUUCUUAACAGAUAGUAGUUUCAAUAUUUUUUUUUCCGAAUUCUUAUAUGUAUUAGACAACUAUUUUUUGGAAUUGGCAAUAUGUAACAUAAUCUUGUAAAAAAAUUUAAAAUAGAUUUAUAAACUUACUAUUUUUUCUAAAUACAUAAGUAACUUAAAAUCUAUAAUAAUUUUUAAAAUUUUAUUUAUAUUAUAUUAUAUAUUAUUUAAUUAUUAAAAAAAUUAAAUAUAUCAGAUAAAUAUAUUUCGAAAAUGAUAUCAGAAGUUGACAUAUCAUAUUGAAUAUAUGACUAAAGAACCUUCAACUUAGCAAAUUAUUUAUUAAUGACUUACAAUUGUUUUAAUUUUGUAUCAUAUCUAUGUAGUUUUAUUUUUAAUAUUCAUAACAAAUUUUUCAUAAAAUUUAAUAAUUUUAUUAUUUCUUUUAGUAUAUACAUAAUUAUGUAAGUUUUUCUAUUUUUUAUUUAUUUUUUUAAAUAAUUAGUUAGAAUGUUAUAUAUGAUAAUAAAAAUAAAAAAAUGAUUACAAAAGAUAAAUAUAAAAAAAAAAAAAACUUAUAAACCAGAUUCUAAUAUUGAUUUUUAUUGUAACUUAAGUUUAUUUUUAAUCUAGAAAAUAAUCUUAUUCAAUUAUCUUAAAGAUAGAAUACAAAGAUUGAUAAUUUAGUAUUUAGUUUGUCCUUUGAAAAUAAUCAAAUGUUAUAGCAUUUAUCUUAUUGACAUUAUAGAGGAUUCUAUAUAGAUUUAAAGUUAUUGGUUGUAUGACAACAAAAAAAACUAUGUUUACUUCUCAAAAUACAUGAAGAAAAAAAAUUGAGUCAAUUUUAAUCCUCAAAUAUGUGUAGCUAUUGAUUGCAAGAAGAUAUGUAUAUAUAUAUAUAUAUAUAUAUAUAUAUAUGGUAAAUUUUGUAAAUAAAUAAAUUACCAUGCUGAAAAAUUGAUUUUUUUUUCUUCAUCAAGAAUACAUAUUAAUUUAAUAUAAUAGUGGAUUUAGUGUUUCACUAAUAGAUUCUAAAGCAAUAUUGGAAUAGAGUUUAAACAAAAAUAGACUAAUUUUGUAAUGUUAGGUGAUGCAAUUUUAUUGCUUAAGCAACACACUACAAAUUGAGUUCAAUAGAUCUAUAUUAUUAUUCUAUUCAUCCAUAUUUUUCAAGUAGAAAUUUUUCUAGUUUUUGUGACUGUGUCACAUAUAUUUUUUAUAAUCUCAAAGAACACUAAAAAAAACAAGGUUUUAAACUGAUUAAUUUUUCUUCUCUUCUAAUAAACUUAAUAACUAAAAAAUAAAAAAUAAAAUAAAAAAAUAAUCCUUCUCUUUUGUAGUUUGGCUACUAUUUGCAUUUUUAUAUUUCUUCCAAUCUUUUACUAAUUAAUAACAUCUAUAAAACAGACCACAAGACUAUACAUAUUUUUUAAUCUAAGAUGGUUUGAACUUGGCAUAGACAACUCCAUUUUUUCCAAACUAGAAGUGAAAUAAAAAAAAUAACCUAAUAAAUUUCUAAAUCACAUCUAUAAAUCAUCAAACCAUUAAAACAAAUUUAAAAAAAUAAAAAAAACAGAAAUAAUAAUAGAAACUCAAUAAAUUUAACUAAUAAAAAAAAUAUUUGGAAUUUUUAAAAUUUAUAAUUCAUUAGAUCAAAAUAACACUCUAUAAAAAAAUAAAAAAAUAAAAUCUUAAAUAAUAAUUAACUCAAUACAUAUACUAUCAAAGUCUAUUUUAUUUAUUGCAAGUAAGUUUCAAUCAUAUAUAUAUAUAUAUAUAUAUAUAUACUAAUUAUUUGUUUUACUUCAAAUAUUAGUUCAACAUCAAUUCAUAAAAAUGGUUUAAAAAAAUCAAUAACUUGUAGUUUAAGUUGAAUUUCUUGCUACCAAAGAAUAUCACAUAGAUUCAAUCAAAUUUUUAGCAACCAACUUUGAUUACAUCUAAAAAAAUAAUGUAGCUUUGUAAGAUAAAUUAUCCAGAAGAAAAUUAAAAAAAUUAUUAUUUCAUUAUCUUUAACUAUCUCAAUUUUACACACUUUUAUCAAAAACCGUACUAGUACAAGAUAAAAAAUAGAUGCUUCUAUCUAAGUUAAUAUUGCAUCAAAAACAUCAAUUUCUUAAAAUUAAAAAAAUUACAAUAGGUCACUUCACAACCAAAAUUGUUAUAUUAAAACCUAUAAGUAUCCUCAAUUAAUGUACUUAUCACAAUCUUUUAUCUUAUUUAUAUUUUACUAGCAAGUGCUUCCAAAAACAAUUGUAGAUCUAUCAUGAAAUUUCUUCUUGUAUAUAAGUAGAAGUUGUAAAGCUAUUGAUUUUGUAAAAAGAAAGAUUAUAUUGAAAAAUUUAAACCUACAUAUAAGAAAUAUUCCAACAUACUACUAUCAAAGUUACACCAAUAAAAACUUCUUACCUUGACUUUCAAAAACUUAAUGACUUUUUCCUUCAUAGAGCUUGUUAGAAGAAAAUAUUUGAAUUAAUUUAUAAAAGGCUUCAAACAAAUUAUAUUAUCUAUUUUUUAAAAAAUAAUAUAAAUUAGAUAAGAUAAAUUAACUAUCUUUAAUAAAUAAAUUUAUAUAAAGUGAUUUGAUAUUCUUCUUUCUAAAGUAUGCAUAAUACAUCUUCAAAAAGACUACAAAAUCACUCAAAGAUGAUAAUAUAUUAAAUUUGAAUAACUAUUGCAAAAGAUAAAAAGAUUCAAACAUCUUGAAAUAAGACUAAGGAUGAGAAAGGCAUUGACAAUAGUAAAAAAUACUUCACUCUUGUCUCCAUAUAUACUUUCUAACUAAGAGCUAUAUAAUAAUAUUCUAUAAGAUUUCUAAUAUGUGUUGAUUUUGCUAAACACAUGACUUGACUUUGAAGACAAGUUAUCUAUAUGAAUACCACAUAGUUAACUUGUUCUACAAGCUACUAACACGUGUAUCAUGUGACUAAUUUAUUGACUAAAUUUUUAGCCUACCAAUUAAAUAAAAACACAUGUAAAGUCAAAGCAUCAUUUAUGAAGCUUUUAGAAAGCUUCUUUAGAAGAUAUUAUGAAAUUAGUCUACUUUUAUCUACUUCUACCUAAUCAUAUAGGUAAUUAUUGGAAUAAAUAUGUAUGUUUAUGACAUUACCUCUUUUUUAGACAUAAAUGCUAUAAGGAGUUGUCAUCAUAUGUUCAAAAAAUCCAAGAUGUGGCAAAUUGUAUUUGUUAUAUACUAUAAUCUUUAUUUUUUUUAAAGAUGAUUGGUAGGUUUUCUAAGCAAUUGACAGUAUUAUAUACUAGGACAAAAAAACUACCAUGUUAUUUGAUUGUCAUUGAGGCCUUUAUAAUUUAUUUCAAGUAAAAUAUUUGAAUUACUAUCAACAAUCAUCCCGACUUCUAAUAAAAUCACCAAACAUCAAGAAGCUCUUCUAAGAUUGUGAUAUCAAACACAUUGUAUUUCACCAUUUAUUUGACAGAAGAUAUGUUGUUCUUGAGGAUCUUCAUCUCGAUUACAUCAUCUUCAACAUUGUGACAAAUGCAAUGUCUUCUGUAAUAAUUCAACAAACAAUAACUUUUAAGCUAAAUCUGUUAGUUAUUGAUUCUCUAUCUUUUUAGUGCCACAAAUACACAAAAGCUACAAAUAAAGAUAGAACAUAGCAUAUUAUCUUUAUUGUAUCUUGUUUCUUUUAUAACAAAGAUUUUCUAUUCUUCAUCUUAGUUUUGAUAGAUGUUGUUAUUGAAAAGCAUCAACUUUCAUUAUUGUAUUUAUAAGAUUUUUUGCUAGCUUCCAUGAGUAUUUAUUAAUAUCAUAUCUAUGCCAAUGAAUAAGAUAUUUUAAUCUAUUUUAGCACUGCAUUGAAUUUAAGAAUUUUUCUACCUCAAAUCCUUCAUUAUUAUUUAUUUUUAUAGGAAGAGGUGACAUUUAUCUUUUUUUGAGAUAUUUAAUAUCUUAUAUAGCUAAAAAAAGAUAUAUAAAAUAUAGUAUGGAUUUUCAUAGACUAUAGUAGAUAUAAUCAAUAAGUAAUAUGAUUGAAUUAUUCACAAAAAAGUAAUGUCGAAGCCUAUAAUAGUCCAACUUAUCACAAAAAUAAAUAGUCUUGAUAUUGCAACAAAGUAAGCAUACUUUAUUACUUACAUUAAAUUAUGGUUAUUCCUUAUAAUAGGCAUUUGUAUUGAUCUUUUGUUAUUCUUGAGCUUCCUUUAAUUGUACCUUCAUUUUUGCAUAUAGCUUUGACAAAUAAUUUGUUAAAUCUUUUACCUUAAGAUUAUUAACUUUUGAAAAGUCAAAAAUAUUAAAUCAAGGAUGAUAACUAUAAUUGGUAAAAAAUGAUGUUUAUUGAAUAAAAAAAUAUAUCAAAUUAUUAAAAAAAAAAUUGCUAAUGGUAAAAUAAUUGUCUAAUCAUCUUAAUGAUAGUUGAAAGUAUGCCUCAAAUAUUAUUGUACAAUUUGAUUCAUCUAUUUCAUUUGUCCAUUAGUUUGAAGAUAAAAGUAAAAGAAUAAAAAAUUAAAAUCUUAAAAAAGAUAUUUCAAAAUCUUAAUAUGAAUUAAGCCUUCUUAUUUGAUAUAACAUCUUUAGAUAAUCUAUGAUAGUGAUAAAUAUUAUUAAAAAAGUCUUAGCCAUUUCUUCACCUAUGAUGGAUUUUGUAUAUGAUAUAAAAUAUAUCAUCUUGAUAAAAUGAUGUAUUAUUAUAAAUAUAAAAUCAUACAAACUAGAAAUUAAAAGAUUCAUGAUAAAAUCCAUAAAAAUAAAAAAAAACUAUAAUUGUUUAAGAACAGAUAAUGGCUAAAGAAGUCUACAAGGUUGAUGACAAGGAAUUUUUUAUUUUGAAUAAAUAUAACAUGAUUUUACAAAGUCUUUAAUUACCUUCUACAUUUAAGGCUAUCAAUUUUUAUUUUAUAUUAGCUUCAAAGACUUACUAUAUCCAAAAUAUCUAGCUGGUAGAAAGUUAUGAUGAGCUUUAAGAAUAUAUAAUUGUAUUUUUUCUUUUGGAAUAUAUAAUUAUUUUAAAAAUAAAAUUGAUUAUUUUUGAAGCUAAACUUAAACUUCAAAGUAUCAUAAGACUUAAAAGAAGUAUUCUUGAUGUCAUAAACAAGAGAAUUAGAGGACAUACUUCAUUAAAUUUAUUUGAUAAAGGUUGAAUCAAUAAUCAAUAUUGAUAUUAUUAUUCAAAGAUAAAAAUGUUCUAACUUUAAGAAAAUCAUUCUUUACUGACUGAAAGCUGUAUCUUCUUUUCAUAUAACAUAAGAAUAUUUAAAAAGUGCAUUUAAUAAAUCUUAUUGUUUUUUGGAUUGAUAAGUAAUCUUGAAAUCAAAUAUUAAUAAAAAAAAUGCUCCGAUGGACUUGACAACAAUUCAAAAUAAGUGCCGACAUGAAGUACUUGAAGUUCUUGUAAUAUGCAUAUACAAUGACAAGUCUUGAUGUGCCUUUCAAAUAAUGAUUCCAUUCUUAGAAUAAAUCCAUAAUUGUAAGAAGUUCUUUGUCAUGGAUUUUAUAGUUAAUCUUGAUUGCUGAAAUGUUUUUGGAAAGAAAAGCUAUUAAGUGGAGAUAUCAUCUGCUUCUAUUUGUAAUAAUACGACACCUAAAACAAAGUUUGAUGUAUUUGUUUCUAUAAAGAAUGCCUUGAAAAAAUUGAUGCCAUAUAAAAUUGGUGCAAAAAUAAAUACUAUCUUUAAGGCUUUAAAGAUGCUUCAACUUUUUUUUUCCACUCAUGUUUAUCUCUAUAUGUCAAAUGUGUAAGAAGAGUUGCAACUUGAAAUUUUUUUUAAUGAAGAUCUUGUAAUAAUUAGCAAAUUUCAAAAAAUAUUACACAUCUCUUAUUAUUUUUAAAAUCUUAUAAUUGAUAAUAGUUUUGACUUUUUUUAGAUUUAUCAUUAGAUUUUUAUUGGAAAUGAUGUAAUCUAAGAAGUCAAUUUAUAGUGACUCAAAAAAUUAUUUCAAUGUUGACAUAUUUUAGAAAGAAUAGUGUAUUAUAGAUGAAUUAUAGUAAAUAAUGGUACAUGGUUUUUAUAGCAAAUAAAGUACUCUUUUUAAAGCUAUCAAAUGAGCUUAGGUUGAAAAGAAUCCAUUAGAUAAUUGCAAAGCUAUGACCAAUCUAAUUUUUGUAGCAUUGAAAUAAUUUUUUGAGUGUAGUGUCUAAUUUUUGGAUUCUAUCAAUUACUCAACAUCACAACAUUCUAUCAUAAUCAAAUUUAUUAUUAAAAUAUUAUUAUUAAUCUGAUGACAUCAUUAAUACUUACUAGCAAUUAUAAAAGCAUCAUUCUUAAUCACAAUUAUUUGCAUGAAGAUAUUCCAAAUUAUAACAUUUUAGGACCUUUUAGAAUCUUCUACAAAUUUCUAAAACCUUCUAAAUACUUAUAGAAUCUUUUACAAUCUUUUAAAAAGUUCUAAAGGCUUUUGGAAGCCUCUUUAGACUUCUAAAAACUUCUAUAGAAAGUACCAUAGACUUUUAUAACCUUCAUUAUAGUAUAAAUAGGAGUCUUUGGAACUACUUUGGCUUUCAAUCUCAUUUUUUGUCUUUAAUCUUGACAUAUUUUUUUAUCAAAUUCUUGUGUCUUUGACAAUUCCUUGAAUAAUUAUGAGACCCAUUUCUUGUUCUUUCUAAGUCAAUAUCACCUCUGCUCUUCUUCAUUCUCAAAAAUCUUAUGGCCAAAUUGCUUGUAAACUUCAUUACAAUAAAGCUACUAUCUUUAGGCUAGCAAAAAAGAUCACUUUUAAUAGAAAGAAUUUUAAAUUAGAUAGAACAAAGAAGCUCAUUUUAGUAGAUGAAAAAACAAUCAUUUAUCAAAUCAACACUGAGAAGACUGAAAAUGUUGUUGAGGUUGCUAAAAUUUUUAAUAAGAUUAUCAAUAAUCCUGUAUCAAUCUAAACUAUUUGAAAUAUUUUCAAGAAAUAGAAUAUGAAAGUCGUGGUGAAGAAAAAAGAACCACUACUAUCUACUUGCCAUUAAAAAUAAUCCUUGGAUUUUGCUCUGAAGUACAAGAAAUAAACUAUGGAGGAUUUGAAGAAGAUUAUUUAGUCGAUUGAGACAAAAAUCAAUAAAUUUGGAUUAGAUGAGAAAAAAUAGGUGUAGAAAGAAAAAGAUUAGUCUUUUUUUGUUAAGAAGAUAUAAAAAAUAGUUAAGCAUGGAAUUAGAGAUAUAAUAAUAUAAAAUUAUAUGGAAUGAAAUGAGGUUAGAAGGAUGGUAGAGAUUGAGGAGAAGAUAGAUACCAAGAAAUUUGUGGAAAUUCUUGAAAAAAAUCUACUCCCUAAUAUUAAAGAAUUUGGCAUUUUAAAGAAGAGGUGAUUUUUCAAGAAGAUAAUGAUUUCAAGCAUAAUUCAAAACUAACAUGGAAGUCAUUUGAUCAUCAUAAGAUUAAAGUAAUGGAUUGGUCUACUCAGUCUCUUAAUCUUAAUUCCAUUGAACAUCUUUGGCAGCACCUCAAACACCAGCUCAAUAUCUAAAAAAUAAAAUCAAAGAAAAUUUGAAAAUUGUGAAUAAAGAAUAGUUGCGGAAUGAAAUAAUAUUGAAGCAAUUUAGUACCAAAAGUUAAUAGAAAGUAUGCUUAGGAGGUUGAAAGUAGUUAUCAAGGCCAAAAGAGGUUCUAAAAAGUACUAAUAUGUAACUAGAUACUAUAUUCAAAAAAAUAUUUCAAUACUAUUCAAAAUUGGAUUAAUCAUAGAUUCAUAAUUACUUAAUGGAUUCUUUUUAAAUUGAGCUCAUUUAGUAGCUAUAAAUCAAUUUUUUAUUUGCUAUACAAACCACAUAUCAUUAUUUAUUAGAAUUUAUCUAUAAUAUACUAUUCUUUUUAAAAUAUAUCAAUAUUAAAAUAUUUUUCUGAUUCAUUGUAAAUAGUGUAGAAUACAUCCAUUUCUAUCUUCACAUAUAAUCUUGUAUCUUUAAGUUUUUGUAAUAGACAAUCAACAUAAAUUUUAUAUUUUUUUGUAUUUUUAAAAUAAAUUAGAAUGUUGUCUAUAUAAUAGAUAGUAAAAUCAUCAACAAACUCAUAAAAAAUUAUCAUUCAUAAGAUGUUGAAAAGCAAUUGGUACAUUUGUGAGUCUAAAAGGCAAGAUAAUAUAUUCAAAAUAUCUAUACCUAAUUUAAAAAGUAGUCUUUUAUUUAUCUCCUUCUUUAAUAUCAAUUAAGUUGUAUGCUCUUUAUAGAUCUAUUUUUAUAUAGAUCUUCAUUUGAUUCAAUUGAUUAAAAAAUCCUAAAAUUAGAAGUAAGAGAUAUCUAUUGUUAAUGUUGAUCUUAUUAAGUUCUUAAUAGACUAUGUACAUCUAUAGAGAUCCAUUAUUUUUUUUCACAAAUAAGAUAGAAGCUCCUACUAUAGAUUUUGAAUGGCGUUUGAAGUUUUUAGCCAUGUUUUAGUCAAUAUAUUCUUUUAGUACAUCCAACGCAUUCUAUAAUAAGCUGUAGAUUGGUCCAUAUAGUAGUUAAAUUCUUUCUUAUAAAUCAAUUGAACAAUCAUAAGAUUGAUGUUCUAAAAGAAUAUUUAUAAUAAUUUUUUCAAAAAUAUCAUAAAAAUCUUGAUAUUGGCUAAGUGAUAUCACUUGAAAUCUUUUUACUAUUAGAAAUGUGUAUAAUAUAUACAACAAAAGAUGACCCUUCUUUUGCCACAUGCAUAAAAGCUUUUACACCUAUUACUUAGAAUUUAGAUAUAUUAAACUUAUAUAUUUCUAUUUGACUAAUGAGAUUUUGAAUUAAACUACCAAAAUAAUUAAGAUUACAAAAAAUCUAAUCUAUUUUAGGAUUAUAUUUUUUUAACCACAAUAAUCUUAAAAUAAUUGAAUUAAAAGAAGAUCUAAUUAAAUUAAAUAUUAAUAUGCUAUUAUGAUCUUUAAUUGCUACAUCCAAAAGAAAAAUCUUAUAGAUAAAAAUUUUAGAAGACAACAAAUGACUAUCUAUAGCUUCUAUAUGUAUUAAUUUAGUUUUUUUGAUUAAAUAUAUUUUUUAUUUUUUGACAAAGUCUUUGUCUAUAAAAUAGAUUAAAGCUUUUGAAUCUAAUAAUGUAAAGACUUUCUAAUUUUUAGAUCCUAAAUAUAUAUCUAUUAUAUAACAAGGUGAUGGAUUUGAAGAGAGAAUAAGAUCUUUAGUAGAUGUUGUAUAUGAUUGUAGCCGCAUACUCCCUAUUUUAGCUAGCAAAACUUGAUUUUUGAUUUAUUCACAAGGACAAGAACUUGAUGAAAGCAAAUAAAUAAGUGAGACUCUUUCAUAGAAAUACAACAAAAUAGAAAUAAAAAGUAUACAUAUUAAAAAAAAACUAAAAUAGCUAUUACCAAAAGAUAAGAAAAUUUGAAAUUCUUGCAAUCUUUUCAAAGAAGAACAUGUUAUUCUUAAAGGUCUUCAUUUCUAUUGUGUCGUCUUAAAGGUUGUAAUAAUCAUAAUAUCUCAUCUGGUAAGUCAAAAAAUAAUGGUUCUUGAAUUGAAUCUGCUAGCUCUUGGUUCUCUAUCUUCUUAAUAUUACAAUUAUAUAGAAACUACAAAUAAAAAUAGAAGAUAGAAUGAAAUAUAUUUUAAACAAUAUUUUUUUUAUAGAAAAGGUUUGCUAUCCUUCAUCUUGGUUUUUAUAGAUGUCAUUGAUGAAAAGCUUUGAUCUUCUCUAUUGUAUUUAUAAGAUUCUUUGUUGGCUUUCAUAUGCAUUAUCAUAUUAUAAUUGUUUAUGAUAUGUAAAAAUUAACUAAAAUAUAUAAUAUAUUUAUAAAUAUUGAUGUACAUUAGAGUGGUUAGUAAGUUAAUUUAAAAAGAGUUGAUAUAAGAAAAUUUGUGUUAAAAUUUAUCUAUUUUGAUUAUAGUGUUUAAAUUAUAUAGGAUUUAGAUAUUUAAUAUAAAAUUUAAAGAGAAGAUUGAGGCUCAAAGAUGAAGUUUCAAACCUCUAAGAAACUCAUUUAAAAAGAUGAAAGCAAGGUAUAGAUGGAUGAAGGUAAGAGGUGAAGAUCUUCAUUUCUAUUGAUCAAAAGCCAUACCUAGUAGGCUCUCAAGAUACUAUCUACGACUGUAAUAACUUUUAAAAGAUGCAUAAUAUAGAAUAGACAAGAAUAUUUUAUAAUGAAGAGAUAUUCAUUAUAACUAUGGUCUAGUAGAUUAUGCCAAAUAAUUAAAGAGAUAUGAUUGCUACUAAGUUUUGGAUUCCAUUAUAGAAUAAGAUAUAUACCAUGAACAUUAAAAUAUGCAGCCUUAUUAAAAUUAUAUAUGAAUAGUUAUUAUUUCAAAAUUAAAGAAUUAAAAAGAAAAAAUAACAUAUAAUAUUUUUAUAAUAUAAUACUAUUAUUAGGUAAAAGAAAAAAAUAUUAUAUUAUAAAUGAGCUUCAAUAAAAAUAUUUUAGCAAAUUAUUUCAAAAAUAUAGAUAAUAAAAAAAGAAGUAAUAAAAAUUAAUAAGUAUUAAAGUUACUUUCUUAUAAAAAAAGAUUCUACUUAUUUUCUAAGAUCAUAAAUCAAGCAAAAAAAAAUAUUAAGAAAAUAAAUCAAACAAGAAUCUUUAGAAAAAAAAUUAAAAAUAUGUUUAUACAAAGAUUAUUUUAAAAUAUUAAAAUUGAUACCUAAAAAGGAGUGAUUGUGAACUUGGUUUGAAAUCAGAAUCGAAUGCACAAAACUAGGUACCUAUAGUGAUUCUAAGGAACUUUAGUUGAUUGAAGAAGAAAUUUAAAAACAAACUAGUAUGAAAUUUUUUAAGUAUUAAUUUCAUGUGAUUUAGAGAUAUAUUAAGUUUUUGAGGGCUUUUCAAAAAAAAAGAUGUACUUAGUGGUUUUUUAUGGAUAUACAUAUUUAUUCCAAUAAUUACCUAUAUAAUCAAAUAGAGAUAAAUAAAAGUAGAUUUAUUUUAUAAUAUCUUCUAAAAAUUCUUUUUAGAAGUUUUUUAGAACUUAUUAAUUAAUUAUCAAUACAUGUAAUAUCUUCUAAAGAACCUUUUUAGAAGCUUCAUAGAUUUUGCUUUGAUCUUAUAUAUAUUGAUAAUUAAUUAAUAAGUUAGAAACUUAGUCAAAAUGUUAGCCACAUGACACACAUAUUAGUAGCUUGUAGAACUAUGUGGUAUUUUCAUGAAUAUAUAUCUAUUAUAAUUUUUACUUAGACAAUAUGAAUAGAUAGAAGUAGGUAAAAGUAAAUUAAUUUCAUUAUACCUUCUAUAAAUACUUUUUAGAAACUUUUUAGAUGUUUUUUUGACUUUACAUGUAUUUAUAAUUGAUUGAUAGAUUAGAAACUUGAUCAAAAAGCUAAUCACAUGCCAUAAGUAUUGAUAGCUUGUAAAAUAAGCUAACUAUGUAGCAUCCAUAUAGAAAACUUGUUUUCCAAGUUAAGAUACAUGUCAUGCAAAGUCAACAUGUUUUUGGAGGUUUUAUAAAAUAUCGCCACAUAGAUCCUAAAAAGAUAAUAUAUAAAGAGGCAAGAGUGAAGCUUUCUUCACUCUACUCAACUCCUUUCUUGCUUCUAGUCUAGUUUCAAGAAUCUCUAGUUUUCUUGUCUUUAUUAAAGACAAGAACUUAAUAAAAACAAAUAAACAAGUGAGACUUUUUUCAAAGAAAGAUGACUAAAUAUGUAUAUUAAGAAAGAAACUAGAAUGGCUAUUGCCAAAAGAUAAGAAAACUAGAGAUCCUUGAAACUAGAUUAUAGGCAAGAAAGAAAUUUUCAAGAGUGAAGAAGACUUCACUCUUACUUCUAUAUAUACUAUCUACCUAGGAGCUACAUAGUGACAUUCUAUAGGACCUCCAAAAACGUGUUGACUUUGUACAACACGUAUCUUAACUUGCGAGGAAAGUUUUAUAUGCAGGUACCAUAUAGUUAGCUUGUUUUGCAAGCUAUCAACAUGUAUCACACGUGGUUAACUUGUUGACCAAGUUGCUAACAAAUCAAUCAAGUAUAAACACAUAUAAAGUCAAAAUAAGGUCUAUGAAGCAUUUAGGGAGCUUUUCUAGAAGAUAUUAUAAAAUUAAUCCACUUUUAUCUACUUCUAUGUAUUCAUAUCGCCUAGUUAAUACUUAUAGUAAAUAUAUGUUUGUAACAUUAUCCGCCCUUCUAGGAACGAGUUCUACAAGGAGCGGUGAUCACAUGUCGAGGAAGUCUAAGAUGCAGCAAAUUGUAUUUGUCAUAUACUUUGAUCUUUGUUUUCUUUGAAGAUGAUUGAUAAGGCCUCUCAACUAUUGAUAGUAUCUCAUACCAAUACAAAAGACCACCUUGUUAUUUGAUUGUUGUUGAGGCCUUCAUAACUUCCUUCAAAUAAAAUAUUUGGAACACCGUCAAGAUUUGUUCCUACUUCUAGUAAAAUCACCAAUCAUUGGGAGUCCCUUCCAAGGUCGUGAUACCAAACACAUUAUAUCUAGCCAUCUAUUCGAGGAAGAACAUGUCAUUCUUAAGGAUCUUCAUCUCGAUUGCAUUGUCUUUAAGUUUGUGACAAUUGUAAUGUCUCGUCUAGUAGGUAAGUAAAUGAAGACUUUUCAGUCAAACCCCGUGGUUGUUAAUUCUCCAUCUCAUUAGCAUCACAACUAUAGAAAAGUUACAAACAAGAAUUGAAAAUAGAAUGUUAUCUUGCUUAGAUCUUGUUUCUUUUAUAAGGAAGGUUUUCAUCUUGAUUUUGAUGGAUGUCAUCGAUAAAAAGCCUCCACUGUCUUUGCUGUAUUUGUAAGUUUCUUUAUCAACUCCCAUGUGCAUUUACUAAUAUCAUAUCCGUGCCAAUAGAUAAGAUAUUCUAAUUUAUUUUGGCGCCGCCUUUAAUCUAGAAGUUCUUCUACUUCGAAUUCUUCAUUAUUGUCUACUUCUAUAGGAAGAGGUGGAGCUUGUCUGCUUCUUGGAAUGUCCACUAUCUUGUAUGGUUCAAGAAGAGACACGUGGAAUACUAGAUGGAUUUUCAUUGACUCUAGUAGGUAUAAACGAUAUGCAACUGGAUUGAUUUGUGCAGAAAUAAAAAAUGGUCCAAGCCUUCGAUAGUCCAACUUGUCACAAGGAUGAGUAGUCUUGAUAUUAUGACGAAGUAACCAUAUCUUAUCACCCAUGUGUAAUGGUGGUUGUUUGUUUCGAUAGACAUCCGCAUUGACCUUUUGUUAUUUUUGAGCUUCUUUUAACUACGCCUUCAUUGUUGUAUGUAGCUCUAACAAAUAAAUUUCAAAAUAUUUUGUAACAGAAUUAUCAACUUUUAAAAAGUCAAAAGUAUCAAGUUAUGGAUGAUAACCAUAACUAGCAAAGAAAGAUGUUUAUUUUAUAAGAAAACAUAUCGUUGUCGUAUUACGUACUAUCUUGCUUGAGAACGCGUCGCGCGUCUGGCUGUAGGAGGUAGUAUGGUAUUUUGCUAGUACUCAAGCAGUCUAUCGUAUUCUUGACUACCCAAAUACAAUCUAUAUCAGAUUGCAAUGUAAAAGCUUAAUUCCAAUAUAAAACGCCUAGAGAUCCUAUAUAACUUCAAUAUCUUUUGUUAUUUUUAUUUUAUUUUAUUUUAUUUUAUUUUAUUUAUUUAUUUUAUUUUAUCUUUAUUACUAAUUACUUUAAUCCUAGACCGUGAACUUUGGCAAGCUGUGAUCCUCAAUUUGUCCUUCUGACUUCUUGUGAAACAUCUAUUGCUAGUGUCUCUGCAAGCCCUUUCGAAUGCUCAAGAAGUUCCAGUUCAACCCCGCUUACAAAUUGUGAGGCUAUGCUGCAAUCCGCAUCGAUGUCCCUUGGCCGCUCGCCAAUAUUCCUCUUAUCCCUGUUGGUAGGUCCCCAAUUAUCACUAAAAUCCUAAACAACCCCCAAUUUGCCAACUUCCAAAACUUCUUUAAACUGUUAGUAGAUAUCCUCUACUCGUACAGUCAGAUUAACACAACCAUGCAUGCAUUCAGCAUAUUCAACCUUCUAGACAACUCUGAAUUUCAACCACAGAAGUAUCUCCCAUUUCAUCAACAAUCAAGAUUACCAGCCUUUUCUCUCUUUCGGAAAAAAAAUCCAGUUCACCAAUAUAACACUAACUUUCAGCAACGAUUGCCUUAGUCUUCUCAAAAUCCAAUGAAGAAAAAAAAAAAACCCCCAAUUCUCUGUCUUUUUCUCCCCAAAGCAUGAAGCUAGCUCUCCGACCUAAAACCCCUGAUUUUCCCCCUUUUUUUCAUUGCUUAACCUAUCCUCCCCUUUAACCGUGAGAAGAUCCUAUUCUCCUGCCUUGGACUCCCCAAAUUGGAAUAGCCAACGGAGCUUUCUCUCCCAUUUUUGCCUUUAAGAGAUCCUUUUACCGAAAGGACGUUCCCAAAAUGGCACAAAGAACGGAACAGCCUAAAACGAAAUCGGAGCCCCAUAAUUGGACCGCAUUGGGUUGUCCGACCAAGUCAAGUCUCAUAUUGGAUAAGAGGCUCGUAGUAAGACCCGGAUGUUCCCGUAAUUGAGUCAAAUUGGUCCUUCGCGUCAGGCUCGUUCAAUCAUCCAUUUAGUCCUUUCAAUUCUGUUGACUCCCACUAUUGGACUCAAACGGAGCAUUUUUUUACAAGUAAGUAUGCCCUGACCGACUAUGACGGAGUGUCUGAACUGGCCACUGAAUAUUGGCACUGGAAUCGGUCGUUGCUCCCAAUAUUUGAGGUGAUUGAACAUUAAUAAAAGUCCCUUUUCUUUAUAUUUUCACGGUAUACUCGUGUUACAACACGACACCGUGUUAUUGUAAGUAAACUCUAUCAAUGGUAAAAGAGUUGUCUAAUCAUCUUCUUAGUAGUUAAUGGUACACCUUAAAUAUUGCUUCAAAACUUGAUUAACACGCUCCGUUUGUCCAUCAGUUUGAAGAUGGAAUGUCGAAGAUAGUUUUAUAUCCACUUUUAGAAUCUUAAAAAUAAUCUACCAAAAUCUUGAUACAAAUUGAGUUUUUCUAUGUGACAUAAUAUCCUUGGAUAAUCCAUGAUAGCGAUAGAUAUUGUCAAGAAAGAGCUUAGCUGUUUCUUCACCUGCGAUAGAUUUUAUACAUGAUAUAAAAUGUGCCAUCUUGGUAAAAUGAUCUACUAUCAUGAAUAUAGAGUCAUAAGAACCUGAGAUUAUAAGAUCCGUCAUAAAAUCCAUAGAAAUAGAAGACCAUGGUUGUUUAAGAAUGAGUAAUGGCUGAAGAAGUCUGUUAGAUUGAUGACGAGGAGUUUUUGAUUUUGAGAAAACAUAACAAGAUUGUACAAAAACUUUGAGUACUUUUUACAUUUGUGGCCACCAAAAGUCCCUGGAUAUUAGUUCCAAAGUUUUAUUAUACCCAAAAUAUCCUACUUCUGGAAAGUCAUGACGAGCUUGAAGAACACGUAAUCGAACUUCACCUUUUGGAAUAUAUAGUCAUCCCUCAAAAUAUAGUAGAUUGUUCUUAAAUUCAAACUUGGAAGUAUCAUGAGACUUUAAAGGAUUUUCCUUAAUAUUACAAAUAAGUGAAUCAAAAGACAUACUUGACUCAACGUGCUUUAUGAAAGUUGAAUCAACAGUUAGUGUCGAUUUCAUUGCUCAAAGAUGAAGAUGCUUUGGCUUCAAGAGAAUUAUUCGUUGUUGAUCAAAAGCAACAUCUCUUUCCUUUGGUGAAAGAUACGAUCGUCUAGAGAGCGUAUUUAAUAAAACUUGUUAUUUUUUUAGUCAAUAAGUGAUCUUGAUUUUGAAUCUUGACGAAGACGUACUUCAACUAGCUUGGCAAUGAUUCAAAACAUGUGCUGACAUGAAAUAUUCAAGGUUCUUGUGAUCCGUAUACAUUGUGACUAGACUAGAAGUAUCUUAUAGAUAAUGGCACCAUUCUUGAAACAAAUCCACGAUUGCAAGAAGUUUUUUGUUGUAGAUCUCGUAGUUGAUCUCAACUGCUAAACUUUUUUUGGAAUGAAAAGCUAUUGGAUGAAGUUUAUUAUCUAUUUCUAUUUGUUAUAACACAGCACUCAAAGCAAAGUCUGAUGCGUGUAUUUCCAUAAAAAAUGGCUUAAAAAAAUUGAUACAAUACAAGAUUGGUGCAGAAACAAAGGUUGUCUUUAGAGCUUCAAAUGCUACUUCUCCUUCUUAAUUCUAUUGAAGUUUGUCUUUGUAAGUCAAACGUGUAAGUGGAGCUGUAAUUUAAGAGAAGUCUUUGAUGAACAUCUGAUAGUAGUUAACAAAUGCCAAAAAAUAUUAGACAUCUCUUACCAUUUUUGGGAUCUUUCAAUCCAUAAUAGUUUGAACUUUCUAAGCAUCUAUCAUAAGUUCAUCAUUUGAAAUGAUGUAUCCUAAGAAGUCGACUUAAGUAGUGUGAAAUAUACACUUUUCUUUCUUGGCAUAGAGUCCUACAUCUCUUAGUUUUUGUAAUACUUAGCAAACAUGAAAUUCAUAUUCUUUUGAGUUUUUAGAAUAGAUUAAGAUGUCGUCUAGGUAACAGACAACAAAAUCAUCUAAAAACUCUCAAAAGACAUCAUUCAUUACAUGUUGCAAUGAUGCUAAUACAUUUGUAAGUCGAAAAGGCAUGACGUAUUCAAAAUGUCCAUACCUUGUUUGAAAUGAGGUCUUCCAUUCAUCUCCUUCUAUGAUGCAUAUCAAAUUGUAUGUGCCCCGUAGAUCUAUUUUUGUAUAGAUCUUAGUUUGAUUCAAUUGAUCAAGAAAUCUAGAUAUCAAAGGCAGCGGGUAUUUAUUUUUUAUAGUAAUUUUGUUGAGUCUUCGAUAAUCAAUACACAUCCUUAAUGAUCCAUCUUUUUUUUUUUCAAAUAAAAUUGGAGCUCUUGUUGGAGAUUUGGAAUGGCGUAUGAAGUUCUUGGCCAAAUUUUCUUCAAUAUAUUCCUUGAUUUCAACCAACCCAUUUUGAGAUAAAUUAUAGAUUGGUCCAAAUGGCGGUUGUGUUCCUUCUUGAAGUUCAAUUGAGCAAUCAUAGGGACGAUGUUCUAGAAGAGUAUUCACAUUCUUUUUUUCUAAUACAUCUUGAAAAUCUUCAUAUUGGCUUGGAAUGCCACUUGAAGUCUUUCCACCAAUAGAAACAAGUGUGGCAUAAAUGACACAAGGUGAUCCUUCUUUUGCAGCAUGUAAGAAAGCACUUGCACCUACAAAUAUAGGUUUAAUUAUACUAAACUUAUGACUUUCUACUUGAUUAACUAUACUCUUAGUUAUACUUUCAAAAAAGUCAAGACUACGAGAAGUCCAAUCUAUUUUAGGAUUAUAUUUUUCUAGCCAUGAUAAACCUAAAAUGACUAGAUUAGAAGGUGAUCUAAUGAUAUUAAAUAUUAUAAAGCUACUAUGACCAUUAGUUGCUAUUUCUAUAGGAAGGGUUUCAUGAGUAACAUCUCCUGAAGACAACAAACGACUAUCUAUGACUUCUACAUGAACAGAUUUAGUUUUCUUUAAUAAAAAUAUGCUAUGUCUUUUAGUAAAUUUCUCAUCUAAGAAACAUGCUGAGGCUCGUGAAUCUAGUAAAGUAGAGGCUUUGAGAUGUUUAGAUCCUAGAAUAAUAUUUAUCGUAAAAUAUAGAGAUGGUUUUGAGGAGAGGAUAGGACCUUCACUAGACGUUGUACAAGGUUCCAACUGCACGGUCCCUAUUAUAGCUAGACAAAUUCAUUUUCCGGCAUGCUAUCUUCUUUGAUCAUCGUACUCCUCAUGUUUUGGUUGUGUCGCUUCUUUGGACAAUGUUGAGCAUUGUGCUAAGAUUCUCUACAAUAGAAGCACAAUCCUUCUUCACGACAAUGAGUCUUUUCUUGUUCAAUAAGAGGUUUAAAACGUAUUGCAUCAAUUUGCAUAUCGUCUACUUUCGAAUGUAUGUGUUGAAGAGAUGUUGGUGUUGCUAUUGAAUUAUAGUAACAUUGAGGUCCACUUGUACGGUUCUCAGAUUGAAAUUCAAAAAGGUGAUUAUCGCACUUCAUAGCAAAGUCAAUUGCUUGACUCAAUGUUUGAAGAUUAAGUAAGUUGAGCAUUAUUUUCUUUUACCUCAUAUUGUAAUUCGUAGAGAAAUUGGCUAAUAAGUGGAGCAUCAUCCCACUUGAUAUCAAUAACAAGUUAUCAAAAUUGUGAAGCAUACAAUGUUAUUGAUCGAUUGCCUUGUCGUAAAAUAUAGAUCUUAUUGGUUGCAACACGAAUUGCAUCAUGUUCUCUGUACAUGGAUCAAAACUCUGCCAAAAAAGCCACUAGAUUAUCCAAUAUUGAAUCUUGUCGUGCAAAAAAAGAUGAAAAUCAUGAUAAUGUUGAACCUAAAAGAAGCGUACUAAUGAAUCUAACUUGCGAUCCUAGAAUUGGAUAGCUUUGGGGUUGAAGUUCAAUUACAAGUUUUACUUGAGUGAUAAAUCUUUUAAACUUUGAUCUUGUGCCAUCAAACUUCUCGGGUAGGACAAUUCUUGGUUUUCUAACACUGGAAGGGCGUUCCACUAUAGGAUGAGGGACAUGAUUUGGUAUAGAUGUUGAAGUAGCUCCAAUCAUUUCUAUAUCUUUACUUCAUGCUAAACUUGUUACUCCUUGUAGUGGUAAAUUGAGUUGAUGCAUCGCAAGCAUUAACUAUCUCAAUUGCUCUUGCAUUUGUACUAUUGCACUCUUCAUUUUAGUAAGUUUUGCCAUGAUAACACUUAAAAAAGAAAAGAUGUCUAAUAUCGCUCAAGACAAAUAGAAGAGAGGACUUGAGAAUAAAGAAAAUAUUAAGGACAAUAUCAGUUUAGAAGAAGGUAAUCCGCAACUUCUAAUAUGUUUAUGUCUUAUCAAGAAAAAGGGAUAAUCCACUCUUAAUCAAGAUUAGACAAAGCUCUGAUAUUGUAAGUAGACUCAUGUCAAUCUGUCAAGGACAAGAACAUGCUAAAGACAAAUGCUAUUGCCAAAAGCCUAGAAAACUAGAGACCCUUGAAAUUAGACUAGAAGCCAGAAAGGAGUUGACAAGAGUGAAGAAGGCUUCAUUCUUGUCUUUAUAUAUACUAUCUUACUAGGGCUAGAUGGUGACAUUCUAUAAGACCUCCAAUAUGUGUUGAGUUUGUAGGACACAUGCCUUAACUUACCAAGCAAGUUUUUUUACGUGUCGGCCACAUAGUUAGCUUGGUCUUCAAGCUAAUAACAUGUGUGGCAUAUGGCUAACUUGUUGACCACGUUUCUAAUCCCAAAAAGUCAAUUAAAGACAUGUAUAAAGUCAAAGCAACGUCUAUAAAGCUUCUAAGAAGCUUCCAUACCAAACACUAUAGAAUUAACUUACUUUUAUCUACUUUUACUUACUUUUAUUUAUUUAUACAUAUAAUUAUUGGCUUAUAUGCAUAUGUCCAUGACAAUCUUAUCAUAUUUGAUAUUUUUAUGUGGAUAGAGAUUCAAAGGUAAUAUAAUAGCAUCAAUUGUGAGGUGGUUAUUCUAUGAAAGAAACAUGUGGUAUAAAUUUUGUAUGUUGCCAUCAAAUGUGGUAGUGAUUUAUAAUUCUUGAAGAGAGCUGAUUAUAAGGGAUGGAUUAUAAAUGUUCUAUCUUAUUGGUCAAGAUCUUUUAAAACAUAUAAAUAAAAUAGUUAUGAAUAAGGUAGUCAUAAGUACAAUAAAAAAAAAAUCACUCUUUAAUACUUUUUGUGUAUUUUUAAAGUCUUUGAGGGCAAUGAAUGCAUGAGAGUGAAAAAUAUUGUUGAGUAAGUAGAAACAUGUACAAGUAAGAAUGCAAGUGCCAUAGUCUAGAUCUUAUACUCACUAAUGAAUAAAGAGUUUAUUGCAUAGUAUAAGUGAUAAAAAGAGUUUUGGUGGCUUUUGAAUAAGUAGUCGAAGGCAAAAAAAUACUAGGGAGUCAAAAUUUUCAAAUUUAAAGUAAAAAAUUAAGCAAAUAUAGUAUGGUUGGAUAACCAAGGUUCUAUUAUAAAAAAUUACAGAUAUCAUAAUAAGAAUCUUCACUUAAAUGCUUCAAAUUGGUUUUAACUGUAAUUCAAAGAUUAGGCCUCAAAGUAGUACUAUUGUACAUACAACAUGACUCAAUUUCAUUGUGGCAUUAUGUUGUGUUGUUAUUGCAUUAUUAAAAAAUAAUAUAAGAUUUUUGCAUGGCUUGCUCUAGAAAGCAAGGAUGUAUACAUCUUCUUUUGAAGUUGUAAAGAUGUCCAAUAUUCACUUAAUAUUUUGUCAUUAAAAUCAAAAAAAUAGAAGACCUAAUCAAAGUGCUAAAGGAAGAAAAUAGUAAGAAAGAAGCACACUACUCACUAUUAGGAUCUAAAGUUCAAUCAAGCAUAAUGGAUACAUAGAAAAAAAAGUUGUGUAUCCAAAUUUAUUUUUUUCUUGAUUUGACAAAAUUAAUUGUCAUAAGAAUAAACUUAUGUCUUUCUUAGAUGUUUUGGCCUUAAAAUUUUAUUGUUUGAAAGGAUCUUGUUUUUACAAAUAUUAAUAUAAUAAAAGAUAACUAUAAUAUUUAAAUUAUUCAUUAAUAGUAAUUGAAUUAAAUUUGAUAAAAGAUAAUAGUUUGGCCAAAUAUUAAGUCAUAUUAUAUGUAAAGAAUAUAAGUCACUAUAGUAUCAAUAAGUGUUAUUAAUUAGUUUUAAAUUGACAAAUCAACUUGUUAGGUUGAAUUAAUUGUCUUAAGUUUUUGAUUUUUAUAAUUUUUUUAUUUUAUAGUCUAUUUCUAUGAGGAUAAAAUUCACUCCUCAAUCUAAAUUACAAGAUGGGCUUGAUUAAAGAUUGCUUGUAAUUUGAGGUACAAAGAAAAAGAAGAAAAUAACAAGAAAUAGAGAAAAAAAAAUACAAAAAAACUAAAAGAAUUAUAAUCCAGAAAUUACAUAUUAUAAAGUACUUACAAUAAAUUUAUUAAAUUUUUAUAUAAUAAAAAAUUAAAAAUAAUAGAUAAAUAUAUAUAUUUAGAUAAAUUAUUUUAUUAUAUUUUUAAUAUCAUAAGAAAUAUAUAAAUUUGAGUUAUUAUUAAUAAAUUAUAAAAUUUUAAAAAUAAAAAUAUAUAAAUAUUAAAUAAAUAUAUUUUACUUCAAACAUAAUUUACUUAAGAGGUCAAAGAAUUGAGCUUCAUCAAGGUUGAUAAGUAAUGUAUAAGGAAUUUUUAGAGAUUUCAAAAGGCCUUAGACUUAUCUUCCUACCUAUAUUGAGGAUGCUACAAUCCAUAUGAGACUUGUACACUUUUCUUUCUAUAAGAACUAUACUAGCUACUUGUCCUCUUAUUUUGUACUAGUAAAUUUAUAUAUAUAUAUAUAUAUAUAUAUAUAUAUAUAUAUAUUUUAAAUUAACCAUAGUAUUUAAAAAUAUCCUAUUAGCAUAAGAACCAUGAAAGGCCUUCAAAUCUUUUACUAUUUCUUCACAAUAUUCUCUCAAUGCAAUAAGAAUCAUUUUUAUCAAAGUUUUAAAAACAUUGCAAAAAAUUUCUUUAAAAAAUCUAAAUAAAUUUUUAUUUAUUUUAUUUUUUCAUAAAAAUAAAUUUAAUUUUUACUAAUUUUUUUAUAUUGGUGAUUUUUUAUAGUUAUUAAAUAAAAUUAAAUCAACAAAAUAUUUGAUUUUCUAUACGAUAAAUUAUAAAGAUAAGAGAUUCUUAUUUAUCCUUUUUUUAUCUAUUAAAUAAUAUUUAAAUGUAUAUUUUUAAAGUAAUACAUGUGGAUAAAAGGUUAAUAUAGACAUUGGUUUGAAUACUUGAAUAAUAUUUUUGAUAAUUUAAAAAAUACUAAUUUAAUUAAGAUAAUUAUUUUUUAAACUUAUUAAGACUUUAUUAUAAUAAUUUUUUUUCUAAUAAGACUCUUGUAACUUAUAAACACUCUUAAAUUCUAAUGAGUACUUAAAUAAAAAAUUAAAAAAAGACUUUAUAAUAUUAAUAUUUUAUAUCUAAAUAACUUAAAGUUAUAUUAUAAAUAAUUCUAUCAAAUAAAAUCCAUCAAUAAAUCUUACAACCUCUUUGUGUUUAAAUCUGUAGAAAUAUUAGUUGUAUUCAAUUAGAAGAAAUGACCUAAUUCAAAAAGCAUUAGAAUUAACAUUAAUUGCUAAUUUAACCUUUUUUGAUGAAGUUCAUCAAAGCAUAUCCUUAGAUCUUCUUGUUCAUGAUAAUAAAAAUAAUUCUUUAAAAUUUUCUAAUUGUACAUUAUUUAGUUAAGAUAAACAAAAAUUUCUUAUUAUAGAAUUCAUAGACUUUUUUUUAGAUAUUAUCUAUUUCUAAACAACCAUGGUCUUAUGUUUCUAAAUAUUUUAAUUUAAAUCUUUUAAUCUCAAGAUCUUAUAAUUCUGUAUUUGUAAUAGUAAAUUGCUCCAUUAAAAUAAAAUAGUUUUUAUCAUAUAUAAAAAAUACCAAAUAUAAAGAAAUAACUAAACUCUUUCUAGACAAUAUCUAUCUCUAUCAUGAACUACCUAAAGAUGUUAUUUUAGAUAGAGGGAUUCAAUUUGAAUCUAUAUAUUAUAAUUUAUUUUUUUAGGAUAUAAAAGAUUAAUAUAAAAUGAUAUUUAACUUUCUAUUUUUAAACUAUUAGACAAACAUAGCUAAUAAAUAAAAAGUUGGAAUAAUAUUUUUAAUUUACUAUUGACUACUAUCAAAAUAAUAGGACAAUUCUUUUGUCAAUAGCAAUGUUUUUCUAUAAUAGCAUAGUAUUGUAUUAUAUAUUUUUUUAUAUAAGAACGCAUCAAGCAUAUAUUUGUAGAAGAUAACUUUUAUUUUGUAACAUACUAAGAAUUUUAUAAUUCCAAUAAAAUAUUAAAUAAACCUUAAUUGAACCUCAAAAAUUAUAAUCAAAUCUUAAUUGAAUCCAAUAUAUUCUUUAAAAAAAUCUUUAAAAAAAUAUAAAAAAUAUUAAAAUAAAAUUCUUAAAAAUUCUUAAAAAACUUUAAAAUUCUAAAUUUUCAAAAAUUAUAAUGAAAUCCUAAUAAAUUCCUAAGUAAAUCCUAAAAAUAAUCUAAAUAAUUUUUAAAUAAAUAUUAACUGAAUUCUAGGCAAAACUUAUUAAUUUUAAUAAAAUUAUAAAUAAAUCUUGUAAAAAUAUAAUAAAAUUUUAAUUUUAAUUUUAAAAAUAUUUAUUAAUUUUUAAUAAAAUACUAUAAAAUUCAUAAAAAAAUGCUUAAUCAAAUAUUCAAAAUUCCUAAUAGAAUGCUAUACUGAUUUUAAAAUCUCAAUAAUGAUAAAAUAAGUAAUUUAUUUUUCUUUAGAAUUAUUAAAAACUUCAAUCUAAUGGUUAAUAUCAAGCACAAAUUAAUUAAAAGAAUCCAACUUACAGAUUAGAAAAAAAAAAACUCCUAAUUUGCUUGGAUGUUGGCCAUCUUCUUCUUCUAACCUUGAUGUUAAUCCAUUAGUAAGUGUAUCUCUUUAUUGCACCAUUAAAUUUAUUUCAAACUAUACUUAAAUAUUUUUAAAUAAGUUAAUUAUAAGCCUACAAAAAAAUGUCUCAAUCAAACCAAUAGAUUGUAUAAGAUGAAAAAAACUCUUAUUAAUUCAUAUAAUUCAAAUUUUGAGACCUUAAUUCAAUUAAAUCUUAAUAACCUUCAAUCUAAAUGUGCGAUUAAUUAAAAAUUCACAAAAUACAUUUAAAAUAAAAAAAAUUAAAAUUCUAUAAUUUUCACAUAUCAAUCUAUAAAAAUUCUUAUAAAAUUUUCAAAUAUUUAUUUUUAAAAAUUAUAAAAAUCAAAUCACUUAAAAUAUAUUUUAUUUUAAAAAGUCCUUAAAAAUUUUAAAUCAAUUUUAAUCACCCAAAAUUCAAUGCUUUGAUUUUUUUUAAAGCUUGAUUUUUAUUUUUCUCUUAUCAUUAAAAAAACCAUAGAACCACCAUGUGUGCAUAGUUUUGUGCCUUGAUAUCUGGUUUUAACUUUGAUUUACAAUUAGCACUCUUUGAAUUUGAAUUUAUAGCUUUUUAAGGUAUUUUUUUUUAAAAUUUUUUUAACUUACUUCUAAAGAUUCUUACAUUAUUUUUUUUUUGAUUUUUUUUUCUUUCUUUAUAGUUCUACAAAAUAAAUAAAAGCUUUUUAAAAAAAAACCAGCCGUAUUAACACUAAAUGUAUUUACUACCUUUUUAACUUUUACUCCUAUUUUUCUAAAUUAAUAUUUAUAUUUUUCUAUUAACCUUAAAAUCAUAUUAAAACAUAAAGAUAGUAUAUAGUUUUACUCAAAAAUUAUCUUUUAAUGCUAACCAUGAUUAUUAUCUAUAAUUUGAUACUUUUGACUUUUCAAAAGUUAAUAAUCUUACAACACAUGAUUUGAAAAAUUGAUUAUAAGAUCUAUCUAAGAUAAUAAGUAUAAAUUUAGAAGAAGCUUAAAAAAAAAUAAAAAUAAAAAUAAUCAAUACAAUUAUCUAUUACAAAAGAAAAUUUCAAUUCAAUGCUAGUGGCAAGAUAUUGUUAUUUUUUUGUAAUUUUAAAAAUAUUUUUGUAUGUAAAAAGUUGAAUUAUUAAAGACUUAUUUUUUAUAUUUUUUGUAAAUAAAUAAAUUUGAUUGCAUAUCAAUUACACCUAUCAAAAUCUAUAUAGAUCCAUUUAUCUUUCUUUGUGUAUCUUCUUGAGCCAUUCAAAAAAAUGAAUACAUUAAGAAUAAGAUAAUUGUUAUAUCUUUCUAUAGAAUUAAACCUACCAAAAUCUAUAUAGAUCCAUUUAUCUUUCUUUGUAUCUCUUCUUGAGCCAUUCAAAAAAAUGAAUAUAUUAAGAAUAAGAUAAUUAUUACAUCUUUCUAUAGAAUUAAAUAACAAUCAAGAUUUUAAAUUAGAAGAAAUAUUAGACUUGAGGAGGCAUCAAAAUAGGUUAGAAUAUCCUAUAGUUUAAUGUAAAUAUGAUAUUUGUGAAUACACAUGAGCCAUCUAAGAACCUUGCAAAUGCAAUACAAAAGGUUGGUAUUUUUUUAUUAAUAAAUUCCAUCAAAACCAAGAUAAAGAGAUAAGAUAUCUUUUCUUAUAGUAUAAAAGAGGUUCAAUAGAAAAUCCGUUCUAUCUUCUAUCUUUGUUUGAAGUUUCUUUGAAUUUGUAAUAAAGAAUAAAAAACCAAAAAAAUUGUUAUAAAAACUAUUCUUUGUUAAAUUCUUAAACAAGCUAUUGAGAUUGUCACAACUUUUAUGAUAAUAUAAUAGGUAUUAGACCUUCAAAAAUAACACUUUCUUCCUUGAUACAAUAUGUUUGAUAUCAUAACCUUAAAAGAGACUAUCAAUGUUUGAUGAUAUUUUCAAAGAUAAGAACCAAUCUUAAUAAUAUUUAAAAUACUUUAUUUGAAAGAAUUUAUGAAGGUCUUAAUGAUAAUCAAAUAAUAGUGUGAUCUUUUUAUCUUAAUAUGAAAUAUUAUUAAUAAUUGAGAGAAUCUUACAAAGUAAAUUUAAUUAGAACAAUUAUUAAAUUAUGUGGCAAAAUAAUUUUGUGUCAUCUUAAAUUUCAUCAACAUAUAAUCACCACCCUUCAUAGAAUUCAUCUCUAUAAAAGAGGAUAGUAUCACAAACAUCAAUAUUAAUUAAAGGGAUGGAUAGAGUUAAAUAAAAAUAUGUAAAGAUAGUUUAAUUUCAUAAUAACUUUGUGAAAAGCUUAUUAGAAGCUUUGUAGAUAUAGAUUUAAUUUUACAAUUAUUUUUAAGUGAUUGAUAGAUUGAAUACUUAGUCAACAAGUUGGCUACAUAUUGUACAUAUUGGAAACUUAUAUUGUAAGUUAAACAUGUAUUUUAUAAGUUGGAUAUACAUUAAAUGACCUAUAGGACGUCACUACAAAUUUAUUUAGUUAAAUUAUAUAUAUAUAGAGGCAAAAGUGAGGUCUUUAUCACUCUUAUCAAUGUCUUUUUUGUUUUUAGUUUAGUUUCAAGAGCUCUAGUUUUAUUAUCUUUGACAAUUGUUAUUUUAGAUUUGUUGUGAGAUAUAUAUAUAUAAUUUUUGAUAUAGUUUUUAAUUUAUUUUAUUUAUCUUGCUUUAAAUUUUCAUUUUUAAUAAUAUUUUUAUCUUAGAAAGUAAUUGAAAUAUUUAUAAGUCCAAAAUUCAUAACAUGAUAUUUUAGUUGGCCAUACUUAGUACAAAAUAUAUUCUUUAAUUCAUCUCAUAUAUUAAUUUAUACAACAUUUUAGGCUCUUUCUAAAUCUAUUUUUAUAUAGAUCUUAGCUUCACUUAUUUGAAUAAAUAUUAUUUUAUUUUAAAAACAAGAAAUAUCAAAUAGUAAUAGAAAUUAUGUUGAGACAAUAAUUUUUUUUAUACUUUUGUAAAGAUUUGUCUUUUUUCUUCACCAAGAAGAUGGAUGCACUUUGAAUGGAUUUUGAGUAUUAAAUAAAAAAUAGUAUUUUAUAAGUAUUUUUAUUAAUAAAAAAAUUUAUUUAAAAAAAUAUAUAUUUACAAUAAGUUGUAAAUAGGUCUAAAUGGUGGAUGAGCUCUUGUUUAAAAAUGAAUUGAGCAAUCUUAAAGAUUACAUUUUAGUAAUAUAUCAAACUUCUCCUUUAUAAUAUCUCUUAGUAUUCUACAUAUUGUUUUAUAAUUCUAUUACAACCUUCAUUAGAAUGAAGACUUAGUGCUACAAAAGAAUGAGAAAUUAAUUAAUAUUUUUCAACUUGCAUAAUUGUUUUAGCUUCAAAAAAUUAAGUUUGUAAUUAUUUGCUAAUAUUCAGAUUAAAUUUUAAUAAGAAUUAUUGUAAUUUCUCUAUGAUUGAAGAUAAUAUAAUUCAAACCAAAAAAUACCAAUAAACACCAGAUUUGAAUAACAUUCAAUGGUGAAGACAAUGUUGAAUACAUAAUCUUCUAACGCUACUUUAAAUGGCUUUGUCUCUUCUAUAAUAUCUUUAAAUUCAAGUAAAUAUCUAUCUAUAAUCUCAACUAAAGUUGGUUAAAUCUUCUUUAAGAUUAUAAAUUUUAUUAUAUUAGAAAGUCUUUAUGUAUAAAAUACAUUAAGACCUUGGUGUCUAAAAAUGUCACAAACAUACAAGGAAGAUUUUAGAACCUUUCAAAAAUCUUCCACAUCAUAAUAGUUUUUUUUUUUUAAUAUUUUAAGAUCUUUGUAGAAAUAUGUAGUAGGUAGCUUAGAAACUAACCUUUAUUAGAUGGCAUCUUAAAAAACUUCUAAAAUAGCUCAAAAAUUAAGAUAUGUGAUUUAACUUGACCACAAGUCUUUUUAGAAUGCUUCUUCAGACUUGACAAAUAAAUCAUCUAUUAGCUUGUGUGGCAAGGCAUAAGAAGCUUAGACUUCAAGUGUUAGAUCUUGCAUGUAGUAUAAAUAGAGAGAAGAUUGAGGCUUUCAACGGUCUUGUCAAUUCAUUUCUUAAAAUUAUACUUUUUGUUGCUUUCAGGCUUGCUUGUUUAUAAAAUUGACCAUUGAUUAUUGUCUUCUUGGUUGUCUAUUUUUUUUAUACACAUCUUAGUCUUCAAUGCUUAAAACUAUUUCUUCUUGAUUAAAUUUUAAGAUAUCUCCUUAACAAAAUAAAUUGACUUAAAAUUUUAUAAUUUAAAAUAUUAAUCAUUAUAAAAAAAAUUAAAAUAAGAUAUAGGAUCUAAUGGUUAAACUUUAUUUAUAGAUCACAAAUUAUAAAAAAGAAUUUAAAAGUUUAAAUUUUAAUAAGAAUACUAUUUUACAUAGAAGAAUAAACACACAAAACUACUCAGAAUAUGUAUUCAAAAAAUAUUGUAGCUCUUUCUUUUUUACUUAAUCAUAGUCAUGGCCAAUGCCUAUAUAUAAAUUUUAAUAUAAUAUAAGAUUAUAACUAGAUAUAUAUAUAUAUAUAUAUAUAUAUAUACAUAAAUUGCACUUUCACAAAUGCUUUUAAAUUUAUAACUAAAUCUGUGUUUAUUAUAUUUAAUACUUAACUGAUAUUUUAUUUUUAAAUUUAAUUUUUAAAAGAAAUUGUCUUUCAAUGACAUAAUAGAAAAUAUUUAAAAUUAUUUUUAAAAAAUCCUAUUCCAAAAAAAUAUUUAUUUAAUUAAUAUCUAUUAUUAUUUUAGGUAUUAAUCUACUUACAAGUUUAUGCACUUGUAACUUUUACAUUUUUUUUCUUCUUAUAUUGUGUAAUAAGUCAAAUAAACUAUUAUCAAAAAAAGAAUGUGAAAUAACUUAUUUAAGUAGAUUUUAAGUAGCAUUUUAGAAAUUUAUUUAAGUAGAUUUUGUAGUAGCAUUUUAGAAAUUUUGGUCUUUGAUAAAUGGUUGUUUAAUUUCUUCAUUGAUUUUAAUGUUUUUCUAAAACAAUCUUGUUAUUGUUUUAACAGUUAUCUUCUAAAUUUUGUUUUUUGUAUUUCUAUUUUUUGUUACUAUACCUCAUAGAAUGAGAAAUGUUUUCAAAAAUACUUUUGUGACUUUAAAAAUAAUUAGAAAUCGAGUUACACACUGUGGACCGUAUUCUUCAGUAAAAAGAAUGCUACACAGAAUGUUAAUUAAUUAAGUAUGGCAAAAGUUCAUAAUAUACACACAAUGGUGGAUAUUUUCUUCACUUCAAUACUGUAUAAGUAUCUAAGAAACAGUUGUUUUUGGGAGGUUAGGAUUGAAACUUUAUAACUAAUAUCUUCUGUUAUUUUACUUUAUUGUUUGUUUAGGCUGAGGUGACAAUAAAAAUUGGUGAGGUGACGAUGACUACAAAAGACUUGUUUAGUAUAAAAAUAACGUAAAAAAUUGAGUGCUCUUAAUUUAUUAGUGUCAACUUAAAGUUAAUCUUAAGAUAAUUGUCUUCACCAUGCAUUGGGAAUGGUAGUUGCACCACUAGAUGAUAUCUAAUUAGAUGAAAAAAGUAAAAUAGUGUUUCUCUAAGACCCCAAGUAUGAAUGGACUCUAGCAUCUAUUUUUGGCAUGUUCUUUUGUGUAAUUCUUGUUAUCUUAAUUGUCAAAUUUGUAAAUUAACGGCUGUUUGUUAACCUUGUCUGUAUGUAGCACGUAGAGAAUUAGUACCUACUAACAAAUGCUGAAAAAUGGAAGUGGCAUUUUCAACAACUAUGACAAAUGUGCUGUAAGCACUGAAUUUGAUAAUAAAUUUCAUUUUGACCCAAAUUUACACGACACAAAAUUACAUAUUAUAAAACUUACAAUCAAACAUUUUUUUAAAAAUAAUUAUUCCGUCCAUUUGCGAAGUUUGAAAAUUUCAACUUACCAGCUAGCAUCUGGGCAAUUUCGUACAUUCUUAUUUUAAUCCUAUAGUAAGAAUGUAUGCCCAAAUUUACUCCACAUUAUAAUUAAUACAAGGAGGAGGAAGGAGCUCGGAGGAGGUGGGGAAGUUGCCUAAGGGGGGAGGGAGACGGUGUGAUGGAGAGGGGUCGGAGCAACGCAAUUCAGCGCAACGCAAUGCAGCUCAACGCAACGCAACACACGCGAAAGAACGGCCUAGUGGCAAAGGUAGGACGGACUGACGGACGGACACAGGGCGAGAGUGGUCAUAUGCCGAGGAUGUCCGCUUGGGCCCAAGGAUGGAGGGCAACAGAUGAGCGUGCAAGCCGAAAUUUGCAGUAGCAGCCUUGUGGACUGAGGAGGCGGAGGCGGAGGCGGAGGAAUUUGAUGCCCACAGAUGGCCACGACAUUCACUCACCCCACUUUCCCCCCUCUCCCAAUCUCUCCCUUACUGCAGGACGAGUGCGCAGAACAAGACGACAGGGGGGACGUAGCGCACGGCCAAAUGGAGAGGCGGAAGGAGAAGAGAGAGGGCUAAGCCCUGGGUGAAGAAGGGAGAAGGGGAUCAAGAGCCACACCCGGAUUCGACAGGACCAGCGAGCGCCAGCCAUCGCACAGUGGCACUCCUGACACAGGAACAGGACCCUGUGGGAACGGAGCGGAGGGGAGGGUGGGUCCCACGCUCGUCCAGGAGGAGGAGGAGGAGCAGGAGAAGGUCAGCCCUUUCAUCCAUCCAUAUACCAUCUAUUUAUGAACCCGAACAUUCAUCUACACUCCCCCCCCACCCCUCUCACCCAUUCGACCAUCCAUUGGCGUCCAUGGGAGCGACCAGAGCACGAGGGGGAGGACGGCCCUGGAUGCGAGGCGGCUGGAGGUGCCGGCAUCAUCUGCUCGCAUCCAGACCGCCAUCGUUAGAAAAAAUCGGGGCACGCGAUGACGACUAGGCUGGGCACAGCCUGACCGACCCCAUGCAACUUGUGUCGUCAAGUCUCCUGGUGCUGCUGGGUAUAAAUUUAAUGAAUGAACACUCCACCAUCUUCCCCCCUACUGUGCUCCGCUCUGCAACCCCCCUCUCGUUUCUACACGAGCACAUCUGUGCACAUCUAUGCCCCCUACUGAGUGACCCUGGCCCACCACGCACACACAUGUUGUCUAUGCGUUCUGAUACGCUAUCUCCUGUGAUGGUUAUUCAGUACUCUAGCGGUCUAGCCUAGGGACCUACCUAGGGUGGUGCUGGAAGAUGAGAUAGGAGACCCUAGCAGACACACUCCUUUACCCCCCUCCCUGGUGCUGCUGUACAACAGGACGAGGACCAGGACGAGUCAUCCCAUCAACAAGAGGGUUUCACGCUGCCUCAGGAACCCGCAGUUACUCAACUUAUUAUCAUAAUAUUGUCAUUGUAGUAUUGUUGGCAGCCAAUCAAGAGUGUUACUCCUUUCCUGCCCUCUGUGUGUCCCCCCCCCCCCCCCCCCUGCAUAUCUUCCUCCUCUUUCCUCCUCCCCCUCCUCCUCUUCCUAUCUGCAAGGAUUCGUUCGCAGGCUCCGAGUCAUUCCUCUCCUUCCUCGCACAUCAUUCAAUUCCCAACACCACCAUCAUUAAUCUUAUGCUUUGUGUUGCCUUUGCCUUCUACUUUCUUCUUCUCUGCCUGCCUCGCUCUUCACCACCCCACCCUUCGCCCCUCCAUAUCUACCGGACAUUCAAACUUCUCUCCCUCCCUCUCCCCUCAUUGUCAGUCUAGUAUAAUGAUCCUGAAGUAAUUUAGCGCCGUCCAAACAUGUGAUGGAACUACCAGUGUGUUGCUUCUAGCAGGGAUAUAACACCCACUAUCAUCACCUGCAGGGGGGAGGACGCAGUAUUGUGAUUUUUGCGUUGUUGUCGUUGUUGUCGUUGUUGUCGUUGUUGCGGUGGUGUUUUUCGAUACUUACGGGGUUGUUGUUGCUGGCCUCGGUGCGUCGAGCUGCCUGGUUUAGUGACUUUCGGAGCACCCGCGUGAGCAUAUUGGAGUGUAAGUGGUAAAGCUGCUGCUGAGAAGAUGCCAGGAAAGCUCCAGACUGUCACUGGAGGGUGGUCCCUUGGCCGCAGUCUUGGAGGUUGGACAAGCACAGAGUCUUGGGGGGAAAGAGCAAGAGUUCGAGAGGUGGGGAUUUAGCUCAACUGUCAACUGGUAAUCUAGCUCAUCCGAACGUACUCUUCGUUUGCACCAGUUUCUAAAUAGUGGAGCGUACUACAUUUUAAGGGCGUGUCGGAUUGUUUGACAAUUCUACGGAGAUUCACAGGUACGGGCCCACAUACAUUGGCAGCAUAAGUUUCAAGAGAUACAGCAGUACAUAAUUGAGAUUUGCUGAGGAGGAGGGCGAGUAAUAGUAUGCAAGAUGUCGACCCCCAAGUUGGCUUACUCGUCAGGGAGUUCUGUGAAGUCAAAGCAUAGUGUCCGGGUGGCGCAAACUACGGCAGAUGCCAAACUGCAGGCUGUGUACGAAGAAUCUGGAGAUUCAGGAGAUUCAUUUGAUUACUCUAAAUCAGUUCAUGCGUCUAAAUCCACGGGUGAGAAUGUUUCUGCUCAAGCAGUUACCGCAUACCUUCAGCGUAUGCAAAGAGGGGGUCUGAUGCAGACUUUCGGGUGUAUGUUAUGCGUGGAAGAGAGUAAUUUUAGGGUUAUUGCCUUCAGUGAGAAUGCCCCAGAGAUGCUUGAUUUGAUGCCACAAGCUGUGCCAAGUGUGGGCCAACAGGAAGUUCUGGGCAUUGGAACGGAUGCCAGAACUUUGUUCACCCCUUCCAGCGCCGCUGCCUUGGAGAAGUGCGCAGGAGCUGUGGAUGUGACUAUGCUGAACCCUAUCUCAGUGCACUGUCGAAGCUCGGGGAAGCCGUUCUAUGCAAUUCUGCACCGUAUCGAUGUGGGACUGGUGAUCGAUUUUGAGCCAGUGCGGUCGAACGAUGCCAUUGUGUCCUCCGCUGGGGUGUUACAGUCGCAUAAGUUGGCUGCAAAGGCGAUUUCUCGGCUGCAGGCACUUCCUGGCGGAGAUAUUGGUCUGCUUUGUGAUAUUGUUGUUCAGGAAGUGCGCGAGCUUUCAGGCUACGAUCGUGUUAUGGCUUACAAAUUCCACGAAGACGAACACGGUGAGGUCUUAGCAGAAAUUCGGAGAUCAGAUUUAGAACCUUACUUGGGCUUACAUUACCCAGCAACAGAUAUCCCACAGGCAUCAAGAUUCCUGUUUAUGAAAAAUAAAGUUCGAAUGAUUGGUGAUUGCUUUGCUUCUCCUGUGAAAGUGAUUCAGGACAAGGAUUUGAGGCAGCCUAUCAGUCUUGCGGGAUCUACAUUACGCGCUCCUCACGGUUGCCAUGCGCAGUAUAUGGGUAAUAUGAACUCUAUUGCUUCCUUAGUGAUGGCUGUGAUUGUGAAUGACCCUGACGAGGAUCCUAAUGCACGCGGGGGUCAGCAAAGAGGGCGCAAGCUCUGGGGAUUGGUAGUUUGUCACCACACGUCUCCGAGGACCGUCUCUUUUCCCUUGAGAUCGGCUUGUGAGUUCUUAAUGCAGGUAUUUGGUUUGCAGCUGAAUAUGGAGGUUGAGCUUGCAGCUCAGCUAAGAGAGAAGCAUAUUUUGAGAACUCAAACCCUCCUCUGUGAUAUGUUGUUGCGGGAUGCACCUAUAGGAAUCGUAUCCCAAUCACCCAAUAUCAUGGAUUUGGUCAAAUGCGACGGUGCAGCACUGUACUAUGGGAAACGGUUUUGGCUCUUGGGAAUUACACCUAACGAUGCUCAGAUUAAGGAAAUUGCUGAUUGGCUCUUGGAACAUCAUCAGGAUUCGACCGGUUUGAGUACAGACAGUCUGGCCGAUGCAGGUUACCCUGGCGCUGCGCAGCUUGGUGAUGCUGUGUGUGGAAUGGCAGCAGCGAAGAUUACCUCUAAAGACUUUCUUUUCUGGUUCAGGUACUUGUUGAUAUUCACAUUAUUCUGUGAUAUUUGUAAUUCAAUGUUUUGUUUCUUGCAGUCAAUGAAUUCACAGUCAAUUAAGAUGAUGUCAACGUUGUCAGCUGCAAUUGAAAUUUACACCAGUUGAACGCAGCUCUAUUGGUCGCAAUCUUCAGUCUAGUUCAAUUGAUGUACAGCUGUUGGUCCAGGUCACAAAGGUCGUAUGGAUAAGUCUGUUUUUGAAUUAGUGUUGAUCAUCUAAAUAGAACAAUGGAGAACCGUCGCAAGUCCAAAGAUCUCUGUUCUCCUUUGAAUCUGGUUUGGUACGUGUGCUCUUUUUUAGGUCGCACACCGCCAAGGAGAUCAAAUGGGGAGGUGCCAAGCACGAUCCUGAUGAGAAGGAUGACGGCCGAAAAAUGCAUCCCCGGUCUUCGUUUAAGGCCUUUCUAGUAGUUGUGAAGAGAAGAAGUUUACCAUGGGAAGACAUAGAAAUGGACGCAAUUCACUCUCUUCAACUCAUUUUGAGAGGUUCAUUUCAGGAUAUUGACGAUAGUGACACCAAAACUAUGAUACAUGCCCGACUGAAUGACUUGAAGCUCCAGGGCAUGGAUGAGCUCAGCACAGUCGCUAAUGAAAUGGUUAGAUUGAUAGAGACAGCGACCGCACCUAUUCUCGCUGUGGACUCAGGUGGAUUCAUUAAUGGUUGGAACGCCAAAGUAGCUGAACUAACAGGGCUUCCAGUCGAAGAAGCCAUGGGUCGGUCGCUGGUAAAGGAUUUAAUUUUAAAUGAAUCAAUCGAUGUCGUGCAGCGGCUUCUCCACCUCGCACUACAAGGUAAUAGCUAGCGCUCAUUUGUUCGUCAUUUUAACUUUGGGCACGCAUACUUCUCUGCUCUACGCAGCUCCUAAGAUUGUGUAGGUCAUUAUCCUGGUAGUCCCUAAUGUCUCUAACCGCAAUAAUCCUUAGUCUCAAACGCACAACGUUUCUAUUGAGUAGUUCAUCUGUCAAAUUUGGCAGUUAGGUUGUGUACCCAAAGAACCACGUUUUUAGCCCAUCACAUCCCCCCCCCACACACUCCCUCCUUCCACGUGUCUUUCUCGUACUCAUGCACGUGCUUGUUUAUUAUGUUUUAGUUGCGGAUUAACUAAUUUUGAUUGUCUGAGUAGCGGGACCAAUGUGUUCAGCUUCUUAAUAAUCGUCACAUACUUAUUGAUUGGUUGCCGUGCUCAUCAUUUGCAGGUGACGAAGAACAAAACAUUGAGAUUCAAUUGAAGACCUUCGGUCCACAAAAAGAGAAAGGCGCGGUGAUUUUGAUAGUGAAUGCUUGCUCUAGUAGAGAUGUUCAAGACAAUGUGGUCGGAGUAUGUUUUGUUGGACAGGAUGUGACAGGUCAAAAACAGGUUUUGGAUAAAUUCACUCGGAUACAAGGGGACUAUAAGGCUAUAGUUCAGAAUCCGAACCCUCUGAUCCCUCCCAUAUUCGGUACUGAUGAGUAUGGAUACUGUUCUGAGUGGAAUCCUUCAAUGGAAAAGCUUACUGGAUGGAAGAGAGAAGAGGUAGGUUUACUAUUUCUUUUCUUGUUUGGUCUUCAUCUAUUGGUUUGAUACUGCAAUUCGUGUAUAUUACUGUUUUCAAUGUAUAUAUGGUACUUACGUUCAGUUCAAGUAAUUUUGCCAGUAACUGAUAGUCGUGUCGCUAAUUUAUUUACAUUGUAAUGCAGGUGAUUGGAAAACUGCUAGUUGGCGAAAUUUUUGGUAUUCAACUUAUGUGUUGCCGACUCAAGAGCCAAGAUGCAAUGACGAAAUUCAUGAUUGUACUAAAUGGUGCCAUGGACGGUCAAGACACAGAUCGAUUUCCCUUCUCCUUUUUUGAUAGACAAGGGAAGUACGUGGAUCCCUUACUCACAGUGAACAAGAGAACUGAUGCAGAAGGAAGCAUCACUGGCGUAUUUUGCUUUUUGCACACAACCAGUGUGGAAUUGUUACAAGUAAGACCUCAAAUUUCCGUUGAAAACUCGCUGCAAUGUUAUCACUUCAGAACAGGAUAUUGAACGGUUGCGAUUCGAGCCAGAAUGGAUUUCUUGUGUCAAGUUUUUCUUUAUCGCAAAUAUUGAAAUGUUCUUGUGAAUCCAUCCUCAUUUCAAUUGGUAUCUUCUUGGAUUUUGAGAAGGUCUGUAAAUAUCGUCCGUGAAGCUCAAAUUGAAUGUAAGAGUGUUAAUUUCUCAGUAGGAUAUAGAACUUAUCUAUGAUUGUCAACACAUGUAUAAUACUUAAAUAUUUAUUCUUGUAAUUUCUAUUUUUUCUGUUAAUACUUUUCAAAUUUAUUUUUACUUUGCCUUAGUGAAGGCUUUUUAAUAAAAAAAUUAUCCCACAGUUCAUCAUUUAUUUUCGUCUUCAGAUUUCCUUUUCAUUUUCCUCUGCUCGCAACUAGUGUUGUGGUGCGGGAUGAGAUCAAUGUUGUUUGUAACCGAGAUCGUAGGAGUAGACUGGUUUGGCUUUGGAGUUGAAGUGACCCAUGACUUUGUACGCAGGCAUUGACUGUUCAACGUUCGACUGAGAAAGUUGCUUUCGCAAAACUCAAGGAAUUGGCUUACAUUCGACAGGAGAUCAAGAAUCCUUUGUAUGGUAUAGUAUUCACACGUAAUUUGAUGGAAGACACAGAUUUGUCUGUAGACCAAAGGCAAUUCGUGGAGACUAGCGCGGUCUGUGAACGUCAACUGCGCAAAAUAUUGGAUGAUUUGGAUCUUGAGAGUAUCGAGGACGGGUAAGCUCUUAAUCUUGCUCUUCUUCUGCUCCUCUUCUGCCAGUAUUGAUCUUUUUGAAUAGCAGUCGGUCUAUUUGAUGUGAUUCUCUGACAUGUACGCGUGUUGCAUUUUGUAUAUAUCUCUGUAUCACGAGGCUUGUCAAGUCAACUUGUUAUUCAACUGUAUUUGUUAUGAGAAACUGUUAUGAAAAGCAGAUUGGUUUGUCAAGCUUACAGCUUGAUAGUGUCUGAAAUGUUUAUUCCCUUUUUUGUUCUGCAUUGAACAGUUACUUAGAGCUGGAUACAACUGAGUUUGAGAUGGGAACAGUGAUGGACGCUGUUGUCAGCCAAGGAAUGAUCACAUCAAGAGAAAAGGGUCUUCAAUUAAUCCGGGAGACUCCCAGUGAGAUUAAGAACAUGUGUUUAUAUGGGGACCAAGUCCGGUUACAACAAGUGCUUGCAGACUUUUUGUUAAAUGCUGUGCGAUUCACCCCAUCCUCUGAAGGCUGGGUCGGGAUCAAGGUGGUCCCAACAAAGAAGCGCCUGGGUCGAGGCGUUCAUGUCAUGCACCUAGAAUUCAGGUCUGCAUGCUUUUCAUGAUUUGCUGCUAAUUGCGAAGUUAUUGGAAUUGUUUUUAAUUUUCUGAGGUGAAAGUGUGAUGUACUGUGUUCAACUGAAUGUAGUAUAUUCAGCCUAUUGUUGUUGACUUAACAGUUUUUAAUACCAGUGUUUUGUUUUUUAGAGUUACACAUCCUGGACUGGGUCUUCCUGAAGAGCUGGUUCAUGAAAUGUUUGGUCGAGGACGAGGCAUGACUCAAGAAGGCCUGGGUCUGAGUAUGUGUCGUAAACUUGUAAAGCUAAUGAAUGGUACUGUUCAAUAUAUCAGAGAAACAGGUAAGAGCUGCUUUUUAGUUGAAGUAGAGCUUCCCUUGGCACAGAGAGAUGAUGCAGGUAGUGUGAGAUCUACUGUUGUCUAGU